rnacentral:lncRNA from 1 species
AUCAAAUAAAGUGUAUGGUGGAUCUAACAUCAACAGCGGAGAUCGAAGAGGGAUUGAUCGAGAGCACGCACCAUUUUUCCGCGGGAAACCGCGAGGCGAUGAGGAGAUCCGGAGAUCGACGAGGCGAAACCUAGAGGAGGAGAAUUUUGAAGGAGAAUGGGGGGAGGAGGAGGCGCGAUCCGGUGACCCUUUUAUUUGUUUUUAUUUUUAUUUAUUCAUUUUUUUCGCUUGGAUGAAUCGUCGGGAGGAGCUACGAUGGCAGAGAGGUAAAUAUAGCGACGACUCCUCUUCUUUUUUCUUUUUUUUUUCUUUCUUUUUUUUUUUUUUUUGGCUUCGAAAUGAAGCACGGUGCUCCCGGGUCAAACCAGGCCAGUGGUUUAAAAAGAAGUAAGGGGAAAAAAACAAACGGAAACAUGCACAUAGGCACAUAGCAGUUAUUUGUUAUUACUAAAUUGCCCCGCUCACUGUCUCAACGUGGAGCCGUGGAGGCAAGAGUGUGACUGUGUGAGAAAUUAUCGCCUGCUCCUUGUGUAUCUACAUAUUUCCUGCACCAUAUCUAGUAGGUUUGGUUCCUCAAAAGAGUGAAAAAAAAUUUCAUUUUUUUUUUUUUUCAGUUUUUCGCAUAUUUGUUUUCGAGAAAAACUAGUAUCUUUGAAAAAUCAUUUUGCAAAUUUUAUAAAAAAACUAGCAUUUUUAUUUUUUUAAAAAAAUCAAAUACUAAUUUUUUUUAUAAAAUAUGGAAAAUGAGUUUUCAAAAAGCUAAUUUUCUUUCUAACCAAAUAGGCAAAAAACUGAAAAAGAAAAAUUUUAUGAAAAACUAUUUUUUUCCACACUUUUUCGAAAAAUCAACAGCCCAUAAGUGAAUUAGCUCUUCCGAAUCUAAUAUAGAACAUUCAAUAAAUUGUCUUUCAUGAGGCCUUCGUUAGAGUUAAGAAGAGCGCGACUCACGGUACACUGGAUGCGCGCAACAAUUUCUAAAGCGUGUAAGGCUUGUGGGCCCCGCAUGUCAUCUCGCGUCCACGGUGUAUACCCGUUACACAGAAAAUUCUUAAAUACGAAGUACCGAGCAUGCGUGUCCUUCGGCCCAAUUGCAUCCAACAGCUCCACAUGGCUUCUGGGCCUACAGGGAUGAAGAAAAGCCCAUACUGGCCCAAUUACACUACAGCCCACUCAAUCAACAGCUCUUUUACUUCAGGAACCACAUUUUGACAUACAAAAAUAAAAAAAUAUUAUAUAUAUAUAUAUAUAUAUAUAUAUAUAUAUAAUAAAUAUAUAUGGGUAGUCAAGGUUAUGCUUCUAUGACAGCAAAAAAGCUGUUGUAAAUAGAAAAAAGAUGUUACGCACUGUUUGGAUGAGAGAAUAAGAGAGAAGAAAAGAGAAAUAAAGAACAGAAAGAAACAGAACUAACAAUUUCUCAGACGAGAAAAGAGAGAAAAAAGAAAGAGAGAUUUUGAUAGUAUUAACUAAUUAUAAUUCUGACGCAGGAACACAAAUAACAAUUCCGAUCCCAAAGAACAGAGAUAGAGAUCACAAAGAGGCCGUAAAUGAGUGAAUUAUAGAAAGAUAUAAGGGAAGAUAAGCAGCUAAAGGAGAGACGAUUUAGAGAUAGCUCAUUGCGCAAAUGAAAAAGUAUGGGGCAGACGAACUAUUUAGAUAAUUUCAGCGUAGAAAACUUACCUGCAUUUUGACAGCUUGGUUCCUUAUCUGGAUUAUGUACAAUAUGUCUCAACUCUUCGACUUCUCAGUAUCGUAGGAUCUAUUCAUGCAAUGAAUCACAAACAAAGAAAUAGAAACUCCGAGCAAGAUAUGGCCAAAGCCAAUGCAAUCAAGUUCCCUCAAAGCUACUUGUAAGGGAAUGAUGCGGCAAUGUCUAUGUUGUUCCAAAAAUCUUUUUGAAUGUAAUAUCAGGACGAAACAAACAACAAAAAGAUCUUUUAUCAACCAUAUUCUAGCAAGAAAUUAUGAUGUUGAGCUCCCCUUUCUUCUCCUAUUAGUAGCAGUCUUUUUAACAGUUAAAGGUCUCCCAGCUGCAACUUCACUGGUCUUCUGAUGCUGUUCAUUCACAGGUUUCUCAUCAGUAGUUCCCCUCAAGCUAACCUCCCUCCGCAUCCUUAAUAUUUCACCCUUUGCUGAAGCUAAUUCAUCUUCAAGCUUUUUAGAUCUCUUCUCCAAAUUCUCUCUCUCACUCCCUAACCUCAUAAUAAGUUUUUGAGCAUCCUCUAUAUUUUCCUGUGCGUCCUUUGCUACUUUCUUCUGUUCAUUAAGUGCCUUUAGUAGCAUCUCUUUCUCUGCUUCAAGAUUGCCAGUUCUCAAAUUCGUGUUUUCUAACUCCUUAGAGAGCAAUAAUGCACCCUUAUUCAUCUCAUCAAGUGAUUUAGUAGCCUCGUCUAAGUCUGAUUCGAGAGCUUUUCGUGCUUCAGAAUCUCUUAGCAAUUGUUUUCCUAAAAUCUCAAGUUCUCUGCUUACCGUAGCAACAACAUUUCUUUCUUCUUUCAACUCCUUUGUUGUUGAUUCUAGCUUCUUAUAGAUUUCCAAUAAUUCCUUCUUUAGGUCAUCACGAUCGUCUGUCAUAGCUUUCAAUUGAUUAGACAUUGCUCCAAUUUCCUCUUGUCUGUUUUUGAGAACCUCCUUAAUUGAUGCCAGCUCGUUAGAAAGAGCUUCUGAUGUAGACUUUGCCUCCCCCAGAUUAUUCGUCAAAAUUUCUUUUGCUUCAAUAAACUCGCUUUGAAUUUUCGAGAGCUUGGACUUUAGUUCUUCAUAGGAAGUUUUCGUUUCAUUGAGUUCCCUAGAAAGUUUUGAAGACUCCAGUAUAGUAGCUCCCAAUGCCUCUUCAGUGGAUUUAAGCUCAUCUUUCAAUUUUCUCACACUUUCUAUUUCUCUCUCUACUGCUACUUUUAAAUCAUCCCUUUCUUUUUUCAAAACUUUAAUCAAUUCAUGGUCAUUGCUUGCUUCACUUAACGCAAAAGCGAGCUUUCCUUCGAGUUCAUAGAGUUGACCAUCCUUCUUAGCUAAAAGCUCUGAAUCAAGGUUUGCUCUUCUUUCAGAAGAGGACCUCAAUUUUUCAUAAUCUUCCACAAGACCAUGAAUUUUUUCCUCAAUCUCACUGUUUGCUGCAUGCAAAUAUUUUAUUUUCUCAUUCAAAGAAUCAAUUGAAGACGUCUUCGCACUUAGUUCCUCUCUGUUUGUUGAAAUCUCUUCCUUCAAUUGUUCUAUCGUGGAAUUUGCAGUUUCAAGAUUCCCUUUACUCUGAACAAACAUAGAGCUUAGGCUUUUAUAAUCUUUUUCCUUACUCUCAAGUGAUAACUUGAGUUCACCAAUGUUCUUUUCCUUGUCAUUUAUCUCUAAGCUAAGAAGGCUUACUUUAUCUUGUAACACAUCGAUAGCAUCGAUCUUUUCUUUGAUUUUUGAUUCAAGUAUCCUUUUAUCUUCUCCAGCUUGUGUGAUACUGCUUUCAAGUCGACCAAUUUCUGCUUUCAGCUCCUCAGCAAGUUUUAUCUCUCUCCGUAGUUCUUCACCCAAGGCUACACAAGUGCUUUUUGCAGAGGACAACUGGUUUAACAGAGAAGCUUCCUCCUCCUGAAAUUUCCUGGCUUGCUUCUGUUGUUCUUCUUGCAUAUUCAAUAACCUUGUCUCAUAGUUUUCCUUCAUUGAAGAUGCUGCUGCUUCAUCUUUGGCCAGUUUGGUUUUCAUCUGCAUCGGAUAAUUAAAUUAGAAAAAAAGAAAGGCGGCAAAAAUGUUCUAAAUUAUAUCUAUUUCUUCUACCUUAAUGAUUACAAAAUUAGGAAUCUUUCAUCAAAUUUCUUCCUAUUUUAAGAGAGCUGAGGGCAUCCUGUGUAUAAAUUGUUUCUUGUUCUUUUUUUAUGACACAAUUAAAGUGUCGCUUAGCUCGCCUUUGUCAAAAAACGGACAUCAUCAAAUGGUGCUAAAUUUUAGAGCAACAUGCAGGAGGAGGGAAAUAAGAGACCCUAUCUUGCUUCUCUUUAAAGUAACCCUUUUAGACCAUAACACAUAUAGUUCAAACCAGGAAUCAAAAAGAUAAGUGCUGAAUUCUGAAAACGAAAGAAAUAUUACGGAGUUUUCUGAUUUUGAUGAUAAAAUUUGGAUAGCUUAAGAAGAGAGAACAACAUAGUUGCAAUGACUGUUGAAUCUCCAGAUAAAAGGUCCACAGUAACCCUUACUCAUCUAAAGAUAAAAAGGCUUUGACAGUAAUCAGUAAACCUUUCCCUCCCCUCCAGCAGGAAAGAAACACUGUUUUAGCAUAUAAUGUACUUCGUUUUCAUAAAAAGGUAAUUGGUCUAUUCAGGAAUAAUAGAACAUCCAAUUAAUGCAUUAACAGUUAUGUGAUAACAAAUUCAAAGCUCAUUUUGGUAAAAGAACAUUGAAAAGAUAACAAAUUCAAAGCUCAUUUCAGUAAAAGAACAUUGAAAAGAAAAUCCAGAUUUUUUUUUUAUAACUAUGUAUGGGACCCUAAUUCAGCUUUCUAAAGGAUAUAAUGCAUUGACACCUCGUAUCAAAUCUGGCCCUCAAUGUAGCUGGAGAUCAUCAAAUACUAUUUGAGAAGUUUUGAGAAAUUAAGCAGCAGAAGCUCAUUAGUAAAUUAUGCCUGUUUUAUAUGCUUUAUUUUAGGAAAGGAGAAAAUUACAGACAUACGUAUCCACCUAUGAUAAAUUGAUCAUAAAAGUACAUAAGCACAUACAUCAGGUCAAUAAAGGCACAUCAAUUACUUCAACUAUACGGAAUGAUGCAUAAACGUAGGUUGAAAAUAUUCCAAGCAACACAUAAAUACAUAACGAGGACCGUUUAGCAACAUCUUUAAAAACCAGGGAGGAGAUGGAUUACAGAUUCAAUGCUCAAUUCAAGAGCUGCCUUUUCCUUUUGAGAUGUCGCAUAUAAUGCACCGAGAAUGCCCGACCCCACUAUUCCAAGCCCAUUUAGGAGAGAUACAAAUGGAUUUCCCGGUCCUUCUUGUAACUUUACUGGCUGCAGAAAAGAUAAAUAUAUUAGAUUAAACAAGAAAAAAAUAAUAGACUCGCAUGGUGAAUUGUCUGGUUAUUAUAUAGCUAGAAAGGAAAGGUUAUCAAGCCACCUCAGAUUGGUUAGGCUCCUGCAAUAAAACUUCCUUCCCUGCUUGUUGGAGCCCAUGAAUUUCGGGUUUAAUUACAUUGUCUUCAUCUGAAAUACCUUGGAUUUCUGACUUUACUACAUUUUCUUCAUCUGAAAUACCUUCCUUUUCUGGCUUUACUACAGUAUUUUCAUCUGAAGCACCUUGCACUUCUGGCUUUGCUAUACUGUCUUUAUCUGUACAAUAAGAUAGAUCAGCAGAGGUUGUCAAACAAACCAUAGUGUGAUGGGGAAUGGACAAGGAGAUAAACAUGUAAGAUAAACAUGUAUAAUCUUAAAUUUAAGGAUAAAAUGAUUUUGAACCCAUAUACUACACUAAUCUCAAAUUGAAAAUUCCUAAAGACAAAUGCAACAGUCCCUUUGGCAAUAUACAUACGCUGCCACAUGCUAUGAACACCAAGUAGCCUUUUAAGCCACUUAUAUUGUACCAUACAAUUUAAGAUUCUCACAGAACCUACAACAUUAAAUUAUGGUUUUAUGUAUAAAUUACUCACAUAAAUUCUUUUUUCUUCGAGAAAAACUUAUUUGAGACAAGGUAGCCUCAUGCUUCAAGUUGAGGCUCUGCUCAAAUGCCUCAAGGGGCAUUGGUGAGGCAUCAUGAGUUGAUGCACCUGCAUUACAAAGAAAGACCCAUGAUUGAUAUUUUUCUAUAUGUAUGAAAUCUCUGGUGAGAAAAACAUACAUUAUGCCUUUAUUCUAUUGUAAGAGAGAGAACUGAAGGAGAUUUUGCCUUUUCUUCCAAUACUAACUUACGAGAUUGUACGAAUAUUUAAGCAUGAAGGUAAGGGACCAAGACACUAUAGAGAUGUUCUGUCUCAGGGUUAGUAUUCCACAUUAGGUACAAGGACACUUUGCCUUCUACUAUAUUGCACCUUUAAUUAUCUUUGUAUCUGCACAGGUUUAGCUGAUUCUUGUUUGAUAUCACAUAUAUAUGGAAGGGAUAUAGUUGAUCCUUGCUUAAUAUCAUAUAAAAUUUGGACGAAAGUACUUCAUGAGGCUGACAUGAGGUUAAAGUUGACAAUUGAAUCAAUACGCUGAAACAAACAAAGAGCCAAAAACUUUCUACAGGGAUUAUUUUUUUGAUCAAAUCCGUAACCUGAAAUUCAAACAACUAGAGAUUGCAAUAAAUAAACAAAUGUAGAACCACAUUGAAGGUCAACCUUGCAUUUCAAAUUGCGACCAGAAAAAAAUAGUAGGAAACUAAAGAAGGGAUAGGGGUUCCUAUACCAAUUUCAUCACAUUUACUGAAUUAAAGAUAAUGUGUAACUCUCUGAAAGAGAAUAAUUGUUAAACAUGUGACAUAAAAUUCUUAAAACCAAGCUACCAGAGCAGUACUCUAGGUCAUAUAUACCUAAUCGAAUCCCCUUUUUCUUUUUCUUUUUCUUUUUCUUUUUUCUCGUUUGGCAGUAUGCUUCUCAGAAUCCCAGAAAUCUUAUGAUAUAUGAGUAUUUGAGAUCUGAUAAACUUUCCCAAUUAAGUACUGCCGCUGACGAAUCGAAGGAACUCUCUGACACCACAGUGACAACCCAAUUUAGAACGGAUCUUAACCACAUGGACAAAAUGCGUAAAUCCUACUUAACCUACUUCCUAAUAUUAGUUCUCUACUUCUUGCACAUACAAUCGUGCACCAAUCAUCUUCCGUUACGGGACAAUUUUGAAGGCGCGCCCCGAAAUUAGGAUGUUGGCAUUGCAAUCAUUCCUUUCACGAGUAUGCAAAUCCAGAUCCUUCAAUUCCUUGGUAACCAAUGUUUUCUAUUGAUCAAUUCUUGUUUAAAAUAAACUAAAUCCACAUAAUUCUAACACCUCAAGCAUAAACCUACCCAAAACACACUAGAAAUUUCCACAGGCUACUUAAAUUACUUGCAACAAAGACUAAAAUUACCAACUACAACCGAAAAAUAGAUAGAAAUUCUUAAAGAAAAAACAAGGGAAUUAGCACACAAACCUUUAACCAAAUUUUCCACAGCAAUCGCUCUGAGGUGAAAGAGGGGCAAAACCGAGACACCUACAAGGAGUAUCGCUCUCCUGUUCGACGAACUCCCACUGAGAUCACCAUCGCCAUCGCUGGAGCUCACCGCGAACACCUUCUUCGCUGUGGAUCUCCUCUUAGGGCAGAGUAGUAAGAGUGGGGACGACGGAGCGUGGUGGGAGGAGGGUGCGGACAUUGGCGAGCACAAGAAGCUCGAAGAGCUCACUACGAACCCCAUUUGUGUAGCUCCCUCUUUUCCCUUACUACGCUUUUUUCUUUUUACUUUUCUUUGGAGAGCUAUGAGUUUACACGCUUCGUUCUUCUUCUUCUUCUUCUUCUUCCACUUCGGUUUAUCCCAUCUUUUUUAUUGCGUUUGGGGAAGAAGAGAGCGGUAUGAGGUAUCCACUUCCCCGGAGGAUUGAAAGAGGUUUUGUUUUAGCCCCGGAGUGAGUGGAGAAGGAAUGGGGUUACUUGAAAUUACGGUAUUAGCCUUGAAAAUUAGAAUUUGUUUGCUUCUUAGUCCCUCGCAACUUUAGAUAUGCGAGAGCAGUCCCUCAUUUGUGAAUAUUGAAAAAAAAAUAAAAUCAAAGUGUGCAUGCUAAAAGGUUUACUGUAAAUUAUUUUUAUAUAAGAAUACUAGUACUUAAAAUUAAUGUAUAAUCGAAUAAUCCUUAUAUCUCUCAAUACUUACUACUGCUUAAAAAUUCCACUACACUGCCUAUAAAUUUCAGAAAUAAAUUAAAUAAAUUAUUGUUAUAAUUUUAGUUCUAUUCAACAUUAUAAAAUGAUUCCAUUCAAAUUUUUCUAGAUAGAAUUGGCAAUACUUUCAUUCUAAGUAAACUAUUGUGAUGUAUAAAUUAUAGGAAGCUAAAAUCAAUCAAAAUUGAAAAAUAAUAAACUAGCAAAUCAAAGAUCUAGUACGUAUUAUCAUAAAUUAUCAGUUGAACAAAUAUUGUGCUUUGUUGAAGGCUAUAUACUUGGUCUUAAUCAGAUGAUGAAGAGAGGAGAGAGAAUGAAUCGUGACAAGAGAGAAAUAUAAGACAAAAAUAAUAUUUUUUUUAUCUAUUGAAUUGAAAUCUGAUUUUUCUUUUUAAUUUUCUGAUUUUUCAAGUAACUCCACUAUAUAGUUUACCGUUCAUUUGAUUCUUAGAAAGAGUAAUUUUCAUGCAAAAAAAAAGUUUCAAGAUUUUGUAAAAAAGAAAGUAGCAUUAUUGGUUUUAAUUUCUUAUCCCAAAAAUAAAAAAAAAUGGUAGAAAAUGAUUUUCAUAAUUUUUGUUGAAAAAUAUUUUUAUGCUCUUUUGAUAAACCAAACACUAUCUUAGUAGAAGUAAAUUGUGCAUGGGGAUGAUGAUUUGAUGAACUAUUAUAUAAAUCCUCUUGGAUUGGUGGGCUUUCCUGGAAUUAUAAAGAGGACCAAUGUGCAAAAAAAGCCUAAUAACUAACAACCCCUGAAUACGCAGGUUGAGGAGCAACAGUAAUCCAACGGACAAAUCAACACAUGCGAAUGUUAAAGCAACGCGUGUCAAAUAAUUGUCUCCAACUCCAAGGAUCGAAUUAAAUCUCCGCCGUCCAUUUAUCCUUCUAAGGCAGUGUGUACUCAAGGUCAUUUUCGUGAAUGCCACAGCACGAUACACAUCUUGGCCGCUAAUCGGGUGCCACGUCAUAACCGUCGAUUUUUUUUUUUGAGCGGUCGCCCAAUGAGCGUGCGCCAGCUCAGCAACAAUUCGGACGGGCACUAUCCGCUGUGUGAGAACAGCUUUGGGCCACGUACCCUUUUGCAAGGAAAUAGAGAAAAGAUUUCCGGCCCAUAGGCUAUUUUUGGGCUCUUUUAAAGGCCUACGAUUUUUUUUUUUUUUUUGAGGGAAAGAUAGUAUGCUACCGCUUCAUUCAAUGCGCAGAUGAACUAGGCUUAAAAAAAAAAAAAAAAAGGACAACCACUAAACACAGUAUUCUUCCCACACACUAACGGGAGCGUGUAGAUCCGUCAGCAUCUGUCUCACUGUGCGUUUUUUGUUAUCGAAAAUUCUUCUGUUUCGUUCUAACCAGAUGGCCUACGAAUAUUUUUAAUGGCCCAAAAAAGGGGCCUCUCUCUAGGAACAUAAACAAGAAUAAGAUUGAAUACACAUAAGCACUUUCUUCUUCUUAUUAUUAUUUUCUUUUAUUAAGGCCUCGUUUGGCGCUGCAUGCGACGCCCGUCACAGUGCAUAGCCGGUGAUCUCGCGCAUAUCCUACCUACCAAUCUCGGCUCAACAAAUUCAGAGAAGCAUUACCAUUUAUCGCGUAAUUUUAGCGUUUGCGCCUGUGGACGUGAAAGCAAUUUGCAAGAUGCUUUUACUGGUAGCUCACACUACACUGCAAAAGCCCUUCUGUCGCUUUGCUGAACUAGCCUUGGUAAAACUGGCCCUAGAGUCUUGUAAUCUGAGCAAAUAACCGAUAGGGUCGGGUUCGGGCCGAGUCUAGUUUCAAGCCAGAUUAGAUUUGACCCAUCAGCGGUCCGGUUGCAGUCGAAAAUGACCGGGCACACCGGACCGGGCCCAAGUUUUAUUGGACCUAUUAUUUUCUCAGUGGAUCGGGUUUGGUACACUAAAAACACACCGACAGGCGACAGCAUUAUUGAUAGUAGGUAAGAGUGACAUCGAUGGUAAAGCAAAUCAAGGUAACCUUAUAAUCAUGUGACAAAAACAUUUAUCUACAUUUCGAAAUACACAAUUAAAUCCGUCGAUCUAUUAAACUAUAUGAAUCAUCAAUAUUGUUUGUUCACGUGUCAAGCUUUUCUUCACCUCAACCGCAUAUCAUUUUUAUCCUUCCCUCCAUUAAGUUUUUAAUUAAUAUAUCUAAUUGAUACAUAUAUAUAGGGCACAACUAUUAAGAUUUUAAUUAAUGUAUUUAAAUAUUUCCAUAGCCAUAUAUGAUCUCACCUUUUUAUUUCUAAUUAAUUUAUCAUGACCCUUCCUAUUCCCCUUUGCUCCACCUCCCACUGCCAUUUAUAAUUCUCAUAUUUCUAUUUCUAAUUAAUUAAUCAUUACCUUCCGCCAACCAUAUAUAAUUCUCGUAUUUCUAUUUCUAAUUAAUUCAUCAUGACACUUCCCCUUUCCUCCAAUUUUCACUGCCAUUUACAAUCAUUACAUUUUUAAUUCUAAUUAAUUCAUUAUGACAUUUCCCUUUCCUCCAUCAGACUUUCAAUUAAUCCAUCUAAACGACAUGUUGCCAUCUACAAUCCUCACCUCUCUAUCCCUCAUCUUUUUCUCUAAAUUAUUGCCUCCCUCCCUUCCUCCCUCUCUCUCACUAAUGUGUGCUCACCUUCCCUCUCCGCUGCGGCCAAAGGGAUCGUCGUCAUCGUCACUAUCGUUGUUGCAAGAGAAGGCAUCGCCAGUUCCAUCCCCAUCGCCAACAACGAAGAACCUUCGGUCGGUGUGGCAAGUGAUAUACACAAAAAAAUAUUUAACUUUAUUAUUAUUAUUAUUUCUAUAGUUUCUAUUCCCUACGAAGCGCGAGCCCUUCACUAGUGUAAAUUAGACGACAUUUAGAGACCAUUUGGCUAGAUAUAAUUAUAAAUAAAGUAUAGUUGGAGAUGUAUGCAGUUGAAAAUACAGCAAUUGUAACUACAUGCAUUACGUUUGAUUGGAUGUAGUAAAAAGCGCUGCAACCACAAAUAAUUUAAUUGGUUGCAUGCAGUUGAGAAAUAAUUUUUAAAAUUUUAUCAUUUUAUAUAUAUGAUGGUAAGAUUACCUCCAGCGAAAAAAAAAAAUUUGUUUAGAAAUUUAUCUUUUACUUAAACCUACUCUCUUCAGCUACUGCAAUUGAAACCGCGGUCAAUUUAAGUAUAGUUCUAAUUGCUAUAGUUGGGUCUCCUCCUAUAGUUUCUACUAUAACAGUUGGAAUUAGAUAUAUCAAACACCAAAUUUGUAUUUACAUAUAGUAACAACUAUAGUACAGUUGCAACUAUAUACAACUAAACAGCCUAUUAGACGUGGUUAGCCAGUGAGAGAGUUCCUUCCUAUCCUUUCCUUUCUCCAAUUAGUGCAAAUUAAAAAAAAAAAAGGGCAAAGUGUAAAUAUAGUCCCUAAAUUGUCCUUUUUGUUUAAAGAGAUUAGUCGCCGAACUGUGGCCAAUUUCUUAUCAUGUUCAAAUCAUGUUCUUUUCAAAAAGAGACAAUUGCAAUUAAAUUGCUUGGAAUCUAUUGAAACUUUUUGAGUCGAAAGAGAUCAACGAUUCAUUUGUGAAUAAGCCCAACCGUUACUUCCACUUCUCACAAUUAGAUCUUUUCCCUACCCCAUUGCUCACAUAUUAAAGAAAUAAAAGAAGACAAAGUUUGAGGCAAUUGAUAGGCACAUUUUUGUUCGUUGGUGCAUUUUACUUAGAUUGGGCAAGGAGCGAGUUCACGCCCAGGUUCUUGUAAUCAACACUACCAUUGACAGUGGACUUUUGUUUUGUAUACCAGUAUUGGAGGAGCACAAAAAAAUCACAAGGUUUCCCCAAACAAUGAGGUGAAAGAGAUAUUGUUCACAAAAGAUAUAAAAACAAGGGCUAAUGGUUCUAAGCGUGGUCAGGCCAAGAACACGCUAACAAAUUAAAUGUUGAAGGCUCAAUUUUGCUGACCACUUCAUUGAUAUUAUAAUUCUGAAUCUCUUCCACUAUUCAUAUCCCGAUUUGCAAUUAUUUCUACUUACGAAGCAUUAAAUAGUUAAAAUUGAGCCUUCAAUCUUUAAAUUAUCGCGCCCUUUAUCUCGUCCAAACUCGACAGUUUUGCUAAUGAUUUGUGUAAGGAGAUGAAAAUUACGCAAGAGGUAUGCAAACCACUAAUGAUCAUGAGAGACAGGUUCCACUCGCAACGAAUUGUAAUAUGAUGGUGGAUGAAAGGAAGAACAAUAAUGGCAGAUAAAGAAGCCCAAGAAAAGAAUUAGACAUACAUGCCACACAGUUUUAUUCGAUCAUCAGCCUAGAGCAGGGUGUUGAAUCAAAUCUAGACAAUGAAAAAUAUCAAAAUUUACUCCGUGGGACGAUAGUGUCAUAAAGCUCGAGUCCCAGAUAACUAAAGAACAGUUGGCUAACCGAUAUUGUGAGGAGAGUUUCAACAAAUCGGAAGCUAAAUUUACAUCUUGGAGACUACUGAAGUUUCACAUAAUGAAUCCUCCAGCAACACAGAGAAAGCGGUAGAUUAGAAUCAGAAUGAGAAUCUAUGCAUUUUCUAUCAUGUUUUGAUUUCGGAGUUAAUUUGGAAUUUAGUAUCGCGAGUUUCCAGCGGACGCAAAUGGCAAAGUGGAUAGUAUAAACUAGCAAAUUGUGUACACCAAACGCAGCUUGUAAAAUUAACUUAAGAAGUUCGCAAAGCUUACAAUGAUACUGCAGCAGAGAGAUAAAAGGAAAAAUGGGGAGCCCAUGGAGUGGCUAACACCCUUAAGAUCAAAAUUAUAAGACGAACGCCAAAAGUUUUAUCAGAUAACCAAGAACUCUAGAAUUGGAAUAAAAGAGGGGGUUGAUAAUUCCCGGUAAUGACCCGCCAGCAUCAAAUGAGCUCUAAAACAAAAAUAAGCAAACAAAUUGAAAUGUACAUCGCGACCAUCCAUGGCUGCGAAAGAUCCACAUAGAACAGCGCUUCUUGUAUGGACGAUCGGCUUGUUUACCUUCAAAAGUCUUUCAUUGCCCACAAGAUGGCUUGGUCGGGCCACGACAAUUCUUCGGUUAUGUAGCGGUGACCAUCCCGGACAUGAAUAUGUCCUCGUGAAAGAAAGAGCCGGGAGAAUCCUCAGAGCUUGUUGAUUGCUUCUCCGCUUCCUCUUCGAUUAAGAUUUCUUGAUCACGGCAAUUCGAGCUACAAAAUGCCUUCUCACCUCUGCAAUCCAUCGAAGAAACUAAGGGUAAACAUUUUCGCAAGCUACUAAUUAGUUGCAACAAACAAUUAUCACAAACAAAAGGCUAAAAAUGCAGGAAAAACCUAUGAUUAUCAAUGUAUCAUGAGUUUAGCUACAAUUUGCUCCAAUAACCAGUUAAGUGCUAGAUACAAUAAUGCUACAAUACAAGGAACUAGUAAGCGAUUCAGAAAAGACAAGCAAGCAAAAAGAAAUGUGUAGCUCAUAAAAAACACUUCUUUACCUAUAGAUGUAGAUGUCAUUUCCUUCUAAUUUCUUCUUGCAAGAGAAGCAGAAGCUCAGGAAAUCAUCAUCAGGGGGGGCGGGUGUAUAAUCCACAGGAAAGUUAACCACCCAAGAAGAAGAUCCAGCUCCCUCUUUUCGCUCCUUAUUCUUACUAUCAGGUGACUCAAUUUUGUGGGAUUCAAGAAUACAAUCCCCAAAAAUGUGAGUUGUCUUUGGAUUAGGUCCAUGAGAAAUUAUGCAGGUGUAAUCCUCCGAUUGCUCGAUCUCAACGAUUGAUAUCGGGAGCGAGCCUGAGAAGUUCUCAAAACUGUAGCUUCCCUUAGCCGGCGGAGGCGAAUCCAAAAGAGUGUUCUUCAAACUGGAUGGGAAAUUUUCAGAAUUUGCCUUUGGGUUCUCAUAAAAUUGUUGAGUAGGGGGAAUCAGCGAUUCACCCAAAUCGGCAGAAAAAGAUCGAUUUUUUCCGAGUUCCCCGCACACCAACUCAGCCCCUUUAAAUCCUAAUCCCAUCUUUGCGCGAGUAAGCGAGGAAAUCCCGUAGUCCUUAGGCAAAGAUUUUGGAGCUGCUAUUGAAGAACCAUCUCUAAAACCAGUCAAAUGGGUCUUAGGAUUGGGGAUAUUGAUCCUCAUUUGUGAUCCAAAAAGUAUGUUUUUGCUCCCCAAAACACUCCCACAAACCAUGGUUUCCUCUUCACUGAGAGAAUCCACAAGGCCAAGGCCAACUCUUUUGUUGUCCCAGCUCCUUGGGGACCUCAUACUCGGAUUGGAAAAGAGCUUGUGAUCAAGAGGAGAGGUUGGGCUUUUCGCAGAAUCGUAGCAAUCCGAUAAGCCCUUUGUGGUGAAUCCUACAAAGAGACCAGGGAGGCUAAAGAGUGAGGAGCUCCUCCCCUUUUGCACCAAACCAUCAUAACAGGACGAUUCUGGGGGUGAAUAAUCAUGCAUUAUUAUGUGGGCUUUUCUCUGAUCUCUCUGAAAUGGCCUGCUCCUCUUCCUCAGCAUUAUUCUGAAUCUCUUCUACAAAUCCCUGAAUCAAAAUGACAAAGAAAAAAGGAGGAAUAAAUUUUUAGUGUGAAUAGAAACCUUCAAGGAUGACUACAUUAACAAAUAUCACUUAAAAAAAUAGGGAAGUUCCAAAAAAAAAAAAAUCAAAAUCCAUCUCUGUUGGAACUAAAUCAAAGAGCAUCAUUCACAUAAUGAUUCAGAAAUGAGUGUAAUCAUCAUAUAUUUAAACGUCCUUUUUUGAUCAUAUCAAAUAAAUGAGAUUGUUUAUUCAACAAAAAGGAAUAGGCAUAGAAACCCAACAUCACAUAGACUCACCCAAUAAAAACCCAAGUUAAAUUUUUAAAAAAAGAAAGAAAAUCUCCUCCUUUUUUUUUCGUUGCAUUUAAAUGAAACACCAAAUGUUUUACAAAGGAGAUAGAUUUAGAGGUGUGUGAACAUAAUGUCGACAUCACAGAUAUUAUAAUGUCACCAAAUCCCAAUCCAGAAAAUUUUUGACACAUCAAGCCUACAAAAUCAUCUAAAAAUCACAUUUUGAAUCACGAGUAAGUAGCAUCAGAUAAAGGAAUCAAUACUGCAAAUAAAGGAUCCCAUAGAUGAACCUGAGAUUACACUAAAAUAGCUUCCUUGCGCAGAACCAGGAAAAUAAAAAUAAAAGUCAAAAAAUCCCAACAACACACACACACACACACAAAAAAAACGAAUCUUUAGUUCUUUACCAAUGCACACAGCACACUCAAAUCAUCCGAAUAAAAAAAGAGGAGAUUAAAAAAAAAGGAACCAAAACAUAACAACUUGAGAGGCAACAACCGAACUAAAUGACAAGACCCACGAAGUGCAUGAGGAAAUGGGUACCCUGCUACUACAGAGAAGAGAGAGAAAAACCCACAAAGAAAUGGGAAAAAACCCACCUUUGCUUUUCGCUCUCCUUUCUCACUCAAGUCCCUUCAAUCUGAGAGAAAAGAGCAAAUAAACCCCUCUCUCUCUCUCUCUCUCUCUCUCUCUCUCUCUCUCUCAUAGAGGAGAGAGAGCUCAGUGAAGAGACCCAGGACCAGUAAAAAUAGGUUGACAAAGUUAUAUGAAAGCUUACACACUACACUACACUACACAACUCUCUCUCUCUCUCUCUCUCUCUCUCUCAAUCUUUUGUCUGCAUGCAUCAAAAUCAGAGAAACAGUGUGGCUUCUGAAAUACUCCUCCCAUUCAUGACUUGUCAGAAAAGAAAAAGAAAAAAAAUACAAAAUAUGGAGUAACUAUUAUUAUACGUAGCUCUACGGUUGGUACGUACAUAAUGCCUAUAGAUAGCAAAAAUUAUUCCCUGCACCCUGUGUAUUAUCAUAUUCUGUACACCAUACUCAACAUUACCUGGGAAACAUGUAACCGUAGAAAUUAAUAAUAUUAUUAUAAAAAUAAUUUAAUAAUUUAUUUUUAAACUUUUUAUAUAGUAUUUUAGGAGUACAGCAGUUAAUGCACCGGGCGCAUGUAAUAAUUUCUCGAGAAAUAGAAUGAUGUGGACCAAUUUAUACUCCACAUUGCUCCAGCGAAACGAGAACCGCUUGCGCAGUGGAAACGCGUUUCCUCGUCGGCAAAUCCCCCGUUGCUCUUUUGCUUCUAGUUUAAAUGNCAAGCAAAAAAAAAAAAAAAAAAAAAAAAAAAAACUUAUAAUAGAGCGGAAUCGGUUUUGGGGAACGGAUGGGAAACGAUUCUAUGGGUGGAAUAAGAGCGUUUCCCGCAACCCUACAGUGGUCGGUGGUGUCCUCUACGACCCGGACAUGGCGCGACUCUCGAUGGAUUGGACCAUAGAAGGACUAAAGCAACCAAUGAGAAUUGACCUGUCCAUUUUUUUCCUUUUUUUUUUACCCCUUUUUUUUUUUUACUUUUAUCGCUUUUUCCCCGUUUUACCCUCAUAUCUGAUUACGCCACGUGGACGGUGGAUGAUCGGAAGGGGACAAUCUCUCGCUAUCGAGGCGCUCUCUUUUCUGUCGCCGAACGGACGGCUGCGAUCGCGCCGGGCCCACGGGGGAGCGGCGGAGGGCUCAGAUUUAUUUUCCUUUUUUUUUUAAUUUCUUGCGGUGGGCCCCGCGGUGUUGAACGGGGAAAGGUUCGGGUUCUGAUGAGGUGAGGGGGUUGGGUUCACUUUUAUGGCGACAGUGAUGGCAAAAAACGACAAAGCCGAGCCCGGUGGGGCCCACGGCGUAACUGACGCGCGUCGGAGUCAGUUAUUAUUUCCUGCACCGCGGUCCAUACACCAAAGCCACCACAAGUCCAACAAUUUCACCUAGCAAAAAAUAACAGAUGUGAGAAUCAAAAAAUAAUUUUUUUUUUUUUGAGAGAUAGAUAGCAUACUAACCGUUUCGUUUAUUUCAUUUAGAAAUAAAUUUAGCUGAAAAUGUGAAUCAACUAGGAUUGAAAUUUGGAUCUCGGUUACUAACCAUCAAGCCCUUUACCACUUCCUCUAGGAAUGGUCAGUAUCGAAAAGUGAUAUUAAUAGAUUAAUUUUUCACAGGAACAUAUCAAAUUUGUUGAGAAUAUUUUUAAAUGCAGUCAAUAAAAAAUAGCUACUUCACAAAAAUUAUAUAUAUUUAUAUUAAUACUAAAUAAGAUUAAUUAAUAUAUAGUAUCAUUCUUUUAAAAUUGUUCUCUUUUAUAUACAUAAACUGUUCAGUAUCUUGGAACCCCAAGCAAUUGGUCCUAAAUUCAACUUCUGUAUAAAGCACCAGUAAAACUAUAGAUGUGUGAAAAUAUAUCUAUAAAUAAAAAUAUGUAUAUAUUUAUAUUUUUAAGUUUUAAGACCUUAGGCUUGGAGGUUAAUUCGUAGACUCCGGUUUGUAGAGUGUGGUCCAUGCAAUAAUUUCUAACAAUGAGUGGCGUCUUUACAAUCCUCAGAAACCGAUCUACUCGAGGCGAGGAGCAGCUCGGAAAGCAACGGCUGGGCUCGCUGGUUAGUAAAAAUUACAAAAAUGGCACUACAAUUGCAUUUUUUUUUACCGACCGUCCCUAAAACAAGUGACAAAAAAUUUGGUGAUUGGUACCUGAGACCCAAGUUCGAAUUCUAAUUGAUUCACAUUUCUAGCUAAGUUUAUUUCUAAAUGAAAUAAACGAAACGGAUAGCGUGUUAUCUAUUUCUCAAAAAAAAAAAAGUAUUUUUUUUAAAAAAAAAAAUAAUGUUACAGAGAACUAUUAAACUUUAAAAUGCAAAAAAGAGAAAAAACAAACUACCAAUUUCUCUAAUGUAAAAUUAAAUAUUAUUCAUUUUUUCAAAAAAAAAAAGUUUGUAGGUAUCGUAAUUAUUUGAGUACGGGUGGAUAGUUUAACUUGCGAACUGUAUUUGUACCAAAAUGGACAGAUAAGUCUAACAUAAUAAGUGAAAUUAAUCAGCGCUCGUCAACUACGAAUUAAAUAUAAAGAAUCGCAUAAAAGUGAUCAUGUACAGAUGAGUGUGGUCCAUGCACGUAUUCGUGUUUGAAGAAGACAACAUGAGCCUACGCAUUCGAAGAGCAGGGUGAAGUAGUAAAAGGACUUAGAAGAUGAGAAGAGGUUAACAUUAUUUGUGCCCAGAUAUAACAAAUCUCGCGAUGUGCUUAACAGAAAUACCACAAGUUGAUCGUAAAUCAAGUAUUGUAUACACGAUGAAUGACUAGGAUAGUAAUUCGUGCGAUGCGAUAAAUAGAUAAUAGAAAAAAAAAAUAAUGACAAAAUAAGAAAAAAAAGGUGAUGAAAAAAGCGAUGAUGAAGAGUGGGAUUCAUCUUGCCGAUGAACGAAGAUAACAACCGAAGGAAUAAAAAGAGGAACAAUUCAAUCUAAUAUGGAAGUGUGAUUUGGCUCGGUUCAAGCAAAAAAAAAAAAAAAAAAAAAAAUGGUUUCGUUCGAGCAAAGGAAGAAGAAAACUUUAGCCGGUUCGGUGUGGAGUCCACACUCGAUAAUGAUCGGUUUCAUUCAUGCAAAAAAAAGAAAAAUCGGUUCAAAGAUGAAAAGAUGUGGAACAGUUGGGUCGGUUCGAUCCAAUGUAAUAGGCUGACCUUGUUCGGUUCAAGUAAAGAAAGAGAGAAGUCAGGUUCAGUUCAAAUAAAAAAAGAAAAAAAAGUUAUGUGAAAUAUUUGAAUCGGUUCGGGAGAGUCCACACUCAAUAAUAAUUGGUUCGGUUUAAACAAAAAAAAAGAAUUUAGAGCUGAUUAAUUCGGAAUGGGGCUCACACUCAACAAUGCAGAGAAUAUUGCCAUUUGGUAAAUUUAGAAAAAAUAAUAUAUAAGUAUAGAUGAUAAAAGUAAUAUUUAAAAGUUCAUUGAUUUGGCAAAUAACGAACACAAAGCGAGGAAAUAAAAAGCUUACUAUGCGAGCAGAUAUAUAGUGGGUCAUUUUAUAGGAGAGGAAUAGUAUUAUUCUCAAGGAGAGGAGGAGGCCCUUUCACAGGUUACAAAAGAGCAUUCGAACUUGUUAAGCUCUUACCCUAUGUGUUGCAAAGGCCGCGUAAAACUGUGGGUAGCAUACUAUUUUUUUUAUUUUUUUUUUUCAGUUCUUUUACUGUCUUUUUCUCGUUUUUUUCAGACAUUUUAUUUCGUUAUCUCUUUUUUUUUUUUGCAGUUAAAUUUAUCUAUUUUCAUAACUAAAGUAAAAAAUAAACUAAUUUUUUUUUCUAAAAAAAAUAAUAAUAAUAUUGAUUCGUAUACGGCUUCGUUUUGCAGUAAAGAUAAAAUACGCACAUUCAAAUCUACACACCAUGAAUUUAACUAAGGCGAUUAUACAUAUAAGACGUACAUAAAUGUAAUGAUAUGGACAUCCGGGCCCAGCUUUACGGUGGGCCCCACAUGUCAGUGUCGCAAACCUGGGCGACAUGUAAUUGUUCCGCAGAGGACCACUUUUAUUAGUGCCAUAAUAUUCGUGUGGACUUAUGUGUGUGGAGCUCUGCAUCGUGCCUCACGUACAACAUGUGAUCACUACACCAUCUUUAAUCGAUACCACUACAAACUUUUCACUUUGUGGCGGCCCCACACCGUACCGCCCACACCCCCGUGUACCCAUUCCACCACCCCCGUUAAGAAUUUGGUGAGUAGUAUUAGAAUUUUUAAAUUAAAUUUAACUAUUUUAUAUUUAUUUUUAGAAAAUUAAGUGAAGGGGGUAAUUUAUUAAGUUUUCUCUUAAAAAACAUUAAAAAAGAAAACUGUUCAAAACCUCCUAAAAUGCAUCGAUCAGGUGUAUCAUGCAUCAUACUUAAUUCAACAAUUUAUUUGUUCUAUAGAUGGUCUAAUAAUAGUGAAUGAGCAACUUGCAUUUGUAUCCCGAUAUUUUUUAUAUGGAUGAGAGGCAAAUUGCGGGCACGAUUAUAUCAAAGUUUGCUAACUUGUCUUGCAGUCUAUAUAAGAGGUGAUCUUUUAUGUAAUAGUUGGAUCACGUUAUACAUAUCUCAGACCGAUCAAAUUUCUCUAUUUGAAAAAAAAUUAUUUUAUUAAAAAAUUUAUUAUAAAAUAGAAAAACUCUAUAAUAUUAUAAUUCAAUUAGUUUGAAAUAUGAUGACAUAGUAUAGCUGUUCCAUCUCACACUUUUUUCUAAAUAAAACGGUAAUUUAUUACAACACAACCUAACUUCGUCGCAAUUCUUAAAUUCGACGAAAUCUAUGUUAACAGUCUAUAUUAAGUUUGGCCUCCCGCUUCUCCUCUUCCAAUUACACUGUAAUGCCUUGAAAACAAAACUUUAUAAUAUAAAGAAAAUUUAUAUAUAUAUAUAUAUAUAUAUAUAUGAUUAUUUCAUUUAUUUAUAACGAAUAGAUAAUUUUUGAGAAAGGUGCAUGAUGCACCUGGUGCAUGCACAACUUUCCGAUUCUCCCACCAAUAAACUGUCUAACGGUCGAAACGGCUCCGUUACGGUCACAUACACUGUACCGCUCACUAGAGGACGAUUUUCCGUGGACGUACCGUUAUCAUCAUCAUUACCGGUCGCACUCAAAAGGUACCAACCCACCAACCGACGCAGUUAAAGUGAAACCCACGAACCACAAUUCGACCCGAACCGAGCUUAAUUUGGCCGAGACAUGUUCCCCACCACUUCAUUGUGCUGGGUAAAUUGCAUAACUACUCUGUGUACCAUACCCAUGUUCUUACCUGGUCCCUGCGCUAUUUGACUACUUCAACAGUUUUGAUCUUUGAAUUUGUUUCUUUUUCCCCAUACAUUAUUAUAUACUAUAAUAAUAUCCGUUAACAAAACAAGAUUCGAAUAAUUUCAACACAAAAUUCUUUCUUAAUUCUUUGCAAGCACCGGAUUACAAAUAUCAUGAUCAUAAUCUGGGGCGGAACCAGAGCCUUUUAUUUGUUGGAGGACACAAUGGAUGGCCAACAUAAUUAUAAGAUUAAAUUUCAGACAGAUCCCUAUAAAUAUAGUGAAUUAUAAAUAUAUUCUUAUAAAGUUCAACCUUCAUAUAUUGUUCUUAAAAAAGUGCUAAUAUUUUCUAACAUGUCCUGUUGUUAGGAUUCAUUAGAAAUUUUUUUUCAACCAUAGGUAAAAUACUCAAUUAUAGCUAAUUAAUGAAGUGAAUUGACCUAUUUAUCCAUCUUUAAUUAACAGUUGGAACUUUUGGAUGGGUAUAUUUAUGAUGACAAAAAUAUCAUUUCACUUAUAAAAUAAACAGUAUUUUAACGGUAACAAACUAAAGAGAUAUAUUUGAAAACAUUAUAAUUUUUUUACGGACAAUAUAUAAACGUUAAAUUUUGUAGAGAUAUAUUUACAAUUCACUAUAUUUGUAGGCACCUAUAUGAAAUUAACCCUAAUUUUAAACAUCUCCAUUAGCCUUUAUUUUUUUUAAUAUUUAUAAAUUAUACUAAACUACAAUUCUAUACAAUAAUUUUAUUAUGAGAUAUAUGAUUAUCUAAAAUAUUAACAAAAAUAUUAAUAAAUUUUCUGGCUAGCUGGUUAGCUAUUUUUUUUCUUUAAUAAAAAUUGACAAAAAGGGUCAUUGAAUAAUAAUUUAUAAUUUAUAAUACUUUUUUCUUUACUAAAAGAGUACGUAUAAAAAAACUCGGAAAAAUUUUGUACUGACAGAUCUUCAAAUUAUCACUAUGAUAUAUUCUUCAUUAUAAAUGUAUGUCUAUAAAAAUGUUAUAGAGAGAGAGUUGAGCUACUAAAUAUUAUUAUAUACAUUUGCUAACACAUUAAUAAUUUAUAAAAAUAUUUUUUUUUAAAAAAAAAUACUAGUUGUACAGUGUAUAUUCAAAAUGAAGGUGUAGAUCUUACACCCUCCUUACUAAAUUUUAUAAAUCUUUUUGGAAUUUUAAUGCUAAAAAAAAAAUCCACAAGUAUGCAGUUAUAGUUCUUGAUUAAUGAGAUGUAAGAAUUAUAUUUCUGUUUGGGAACAUAUACUAUUGUUCUUUAAUAACAAUCCAAAAUAUUUUUUUAUUUUUAAAAGUUUUCUAUUAAAAUUAUUAUCAAUUAUUAUAUCUUAUUAAAAUUUAAAUUUUGUGUAUUUCUGUCAAUCGCUUAUAAGAUAUAUUUAAUACAAAAAUUAUAAAUUAGUCAAAUGCCAAACUUGGAAAAUAACACAAAGCAUUUGGUAACAUAUCCCUAAGCUUGUGUUUGGUUCGGGGUUAAGGGGUGGGAUUAACCCUUAACCCCGGUUUUAUUCCCAAACAUAAUUUUAGGGGGUGGGGUUAACUAAACCCCCCUCCCCUGAGAAUUGGGGUGGGAUUAAAGUUAAUCCCAUCCCUAUUUAAAAUUUAAAUUUUAAAAUUUAAAUUAUUAUUUUUAAUUAUAUAAAUUUUAAAUUUAAUAUUUUAUAUUUAAAAUUUUAUAAAUUAUAAUUUUAAAUCUUAAAAUUUUAAUGUUGGAAUUUAAAUAUUUAGAAUUUAAAAUUUUUAAUUUUUAAAUGUUAAAUUAUUAUUUUUAAUUAUUUAAAUUUUAUAUUUGUUAGAUUUGAUUUAAAUUUUAUAACUUUAAAUUUUUAAAUUCGAGAUUUAAAAAUAAAUUUUAAUUUUGAAUUCUGUAAUUUUAAAAGUUAUCCAUUUAAAUUUAAAAUUUGAAAUAUAAAAUAAAAAAUUUAAAUUUAAAUAUAAAAAUUGGGACAAAAUUAUUAUUUUCUAUUUAUAACAACCCACUAUCCUUCUUAUUCCAACUACUCCAACCAAACGUUAUUUUUCUUAUACCUGGACUAAACCCAAUUCUCAACCAAAUACAAAAUUACUCUAACCCCAACUUAAUCCUGAACUUAACUCUAUUUCUGAAAUAACUAAUUUUUACUUAAUCUAGAACCAAAGAGUAGCUAAGAUAUUUGGAAAAGAUUGUGGGAAACUAACUUUUUUUUUUUUUUUUACUGUUAUUUUUAAUUCCUCAUCUACCCAUAGAUUUUACUUGCAAGUACGAUCCUUUUUGUCGUUUUGCGUGACUCAGCUUUUCAUGAUUUCCGGUGUCAGAGAAAGAGCCGUGCACGCCUACGUACCGCGCGGCGAUCCAACGGCGAGGAAUGAAGAUUCUCUGACCGUUGCCGUCAUAUCAACGGCGAGGAUCGCCCUCAUCGUACGGCAUCCGCGUGGCGAACAGAGGCGGAUCCCACCGCACGUGCGGAAUCCGACGUGGCAGGUCAUAUAGGGCGCCAGUUGUUGGAGCGUUGCUCGUGGAAAAGAUACGCCCCCGUUAUCUCUCCCCAGCUUUUUGACCUUUCGAUCACCGUAUCCAUCGAAUGGACGGUGCAGAUCAACUAUUGCGAGAACCGAGAUACAAUAAUGUACAGGUAAAAAUGGAUGAAGGACCCUCAACUACAGAUUUUUCGGAAGUAGGCCCCUCAACUCCACCUUUAUUUUAUUUACACUGCUUGAACUGCUAAAUAUUUUUUUUCCUUAAAUUAUUCUAAUUAGUUAAAUUAAAACUUUACUAAAUUCAAUAUUAUAUAUUAUUUAAUUCUAUAAAAUUUUCAAUUAAAAAAGAUAAAAGUUAAGAAAAUGCAAACAAAAAAAAAAAUGUAAAGUUGGGAAAAUAUUAAUGUUUACUUAUUUUUAUGAAUGAUAUUUUUAUCUAGGCUAAAAUGAAACAGAUACAAGGAAUAAUCCUGGACUCACAUGGGCAAUAGUGGGAAUAACAGUGAGAAUGGAUUGUACUGGGAUAGUGAAACAAGGGGAUUUGGAAAUAAUUUAAUCAUAAAUUAAUUAUUUAAAUAUUUUACUCAAUCUUUUGCUCCUGCAGAAAAUUUUCUUUGCCCCUUGCAACCUGUAAUUAUUGCAGGAGGCUGUUUCUAGUCACGAAGAACUAAAAAUUCCAUUAGAAAGUGGCCCAAAAAAUUAUUUUUAAAUGCACUAUUUUAUUAUUUUGUUACUUUUGUUUAAGGAAGUGGGUAGCACCAGAGAAACAAGAAGAUUUUUUUUUAAAAAAAAAUUGUGAUUACGUAUAGGAUUUGAAUAAGUGGUUGGUAGUAGUUUAAUUUUCUAAUGAAUGCGAAUAACUAAACCUUAUUUGGGUGCUAAAUUUAUGUCCUUCUUUCUAAAAGCGAUGUGUAUAAUAUGAAACAUAUAUGUCAUGCGUUGCACGUUAAUGUAUGAUAUAUGAAUGGUUCUCAAAGUUUCAGUAUUAAACUAACUAUUGGUUAAUUAAUGGGGCAUAUAGUGUCACAUAGAGGGUGACAUUAUUCUAGGAGUAGUUGAUCAAGCCGUUCGUUUUUUAAUUGACGGUGAUCCUGCGAGCACUUGCUGGGCUAGCGAACUGCAUGUACAUUUAAUUUGUUUCUAUUCAACUCUAUCGUAUGAUAAAUAUCAGAUACCGCUUUGAAGAAGAUGACCUACAAGAACUACCAAGGCGGGUUUCGCCCCUCGCGCGGUAUGUGCUAAAAUUUAGAACUCGAGCCCCUACUACUUAUUAGUAUUUAUGGGCUCAUACAGGAUUUUGGUGGCAUGGGAUCAGCGAGCAAUGUCACACACACAAAAAAAAAAGAAAAAAUCAUCUGAACAAUAAGAAAAUUUGGCCCUUGUGUGUACAUUAAAGCUCUAAAUUAUAGUUACUAGUGUAAAUUUUUAGUUUUAGAUAAUUUGUUGUCUAAAAAGAAUUACAAAUACGUAUAUAGUUCUAGAUAAAUAUAGUAACUGAAUUCACAGUUGUAGUGGAGCUCGAUCAGGCCCUUCAUCCUUGCUUCAAGGUUUUAAAUACUUAGCUAGAAUUGUGCAUAGAUUAUCAGUCUAGGAUAUUCUUAGGCGUAGGUUACUUUUCAACUUUAUCAUCAUAGAUAAGUGUCAUUUUUAUUGAAUGAGAGUAUAAUUAUAAAGCAACAGUAACGGAAAAAAAAAAAAAAGGAAUAACGCCGAAUAUACAUCUCAAAACUUGAAAAAUAUCUUACUUAUCUGUGGUUUUCAAAAUUAUCUUCUUUGUAUCUAAAUUUUACCUUGAAAAAUGUCAGUUUCUUUCAAAUAUAUUCUUCUCCUUGAGGAUUUAUUGGAAAGAUUUAAAUUUUUAGAAGGCAUUUAGAAAAUUAAAGGAUUAAUUUGAAAAAAAAAGAAUAGUAAUUAGUGGUAUAUGGCAAAUUUUCUCUAAAAGUAGAUAUAUAUAUAGUUGAGACUUGCUUUGUGUCUGACAAAGCAAGCUUAAUUUGUUUGUAAUUUUGUAUCAGUCCAUUUUUAAAAUCCUCAUAUUUAUUUUAUUUACUACCACCAAUAUUUCUCCUCGAUAAAUGAAACAAAAAGGAAAGAAAAUGAAUCAAAAAAUCAACUAUAUAUAUUUAUUUAUUUAUUUAUUUAUUUAUUUAUAUUUAUAUUUGCAAGUGUUGCUUCUCUAGUCCUCCUAAAUGCAUCCACUAAAAUGACAGGAAAUCUAAUCAAUGCACCUGCUAUAUAUUAAGAUGCCAUGCAUCUACUUGCUCAGUUCUGAUAUUAUAUAAUUACAACAUUAAUUGUACCUUUGUUCUCACCACUAUGUAGGAGCCUAGUUAUGCCUGUGACACAAUUUUUUAAAACGGACCCCAUCAACCAAAUAUGUCAUCAUUUGAAUCAUUCCAGAAUCAGAAUAAGAUACUGAAACUUUAUUAAACACUAUUUAAUAAAUUCCCCUAUUUAUUCAAUAGCCAUUAAGAUGCCUAGUGUUUCAUUUAUUUGUUAAUUUAUUGAUUGUUGAUUCAUUUUCUUUUUUUCUUUUCUUUUUUAUGUGCAAUCCAUGCUUUUGCUUUACAGUCCAUGUUCUCUUAAUACUCAACUUAGAGCCGCAAUAAUAGCUAAUACGAUUUUAUUAAUAAGGAUUAGUCCAAAACAUCCACUCUACACCUCAGAGUGUUGUGCUAGAACAAUGCGAUUGUUGAGCUGCCAAAAUCGCCUUUAUUUGGUGGGCUAAACAAACAGUUGGUGUUAAGCGUUAUUAUAAUAUUUAUAAUACUAUUUUAUAUGUUUGAUUAAAUUAUUGGAGGGAACAAAUACAAUUUUUGAGCAACUAAAAUAUAUACCACGAUUUUUGGACUUGGAGAGACAAUACAAGCUCGAUGAGAACUAUUAAAAUGCUUUAGUACAAUUUUGGCAAGCAAAUGAUGCGAUAGUAAAUACCGAAUUUUUACUAUGACUAGGUCACUUUGAUUGUAUACAAUUACCCUUGAUCUGUUGCACAAGAUUUGAUGUUGUGUUUUUUUUAAAUGUUUUUUUUUUUUGAAAUUUAGUGAUGAGGGCUAGGGAGCUGUACGAAAGCAACUCGCUUCCCAUUUCUCAACUUGAGCAUAAAUUAAAAGUUUAAUUCAAAAUUCUCAUGAAAAUAGGGUACAUUCCUGUUUCCUCAAAAAAAAAAAAAAAAAAUCUCAUGAAAAUACUUUUUAAACUUGAACAAAUUUGAUGAAAUUAUGAACUAGCAUCUACAGAAUUCAAAUAGAUUUAGAAAUUGCUCUGAUUGCAUAUCAGCUCACGUGAAAGUAUCAUAAAUUUAGAUGGAUAUGCGGAAAAUUCUGGACUAAAUUUAGAUAUUUAAAUUAAUUUGUAAGUGCAAGUGUAGUCUCUUUAUCUUUCACCACAAAAAAGAAACGAAAAAAGAAUUUGUUUAUCUCUUGUACUAUUUUUCAACUCUCCAAAGCAGUAGCCUCAUACAAAAAUUGAAGAAAUAUUAUUGGUGGAAUCGGGUACAAUUGAUUCGUAGUUUUAGUUGUUUAUCAAAAAAAAAAGAAGUAUUAAAGUACAUGGUAGGUACAUUAUGUCCAAGGUCCUAUACACAUGAUGGUCCUAAAAAAAUGAUGGUGAGUACAUUAUGUGGAGGGUCCCAUGGACAUGAUUGUGGGGACAUUGUGUAUAGGGCCAUUUUUUGUGGCCUCACCCAUAUAUAGGCCCAUUCCGUAGGAAUAGAAAAUAUGAUGGUGUGUACAUUAUGCGGAGGGUCCCAUGGACAUGAUGGUGAUGACAUCAUGUACAGGGCCCUGUUUUGAGGCCCAAUCCAUCUACAUAUCGGGACAUCAUCUGGGCCGUAGGAUUCUAUAUAUAUUGUUGUUAAAUCUCGGCCCAUUAGGAGCCCUAUAUUCGUAUAAUCUACGUUUCAUUUUUACUUAUAUAAAAAAAAUUAGAAAAUAAAAAAAAUUAUGAAUCCUGCAGUGGUACAUAUAUUGUUGGGAUCUGAGGUAAUGAGAUAAAGAAAAAAGUAAAUUAUAUAAAAGCAAGUAUCGAUCGCUAUUGUGGUUGAACAUAGGUAAAAAAAAAAAUCCUUAGAGAUACAAAUUUUUUACAUGAACAAUGAAAAAAAAUAUUAAAUUUGAUGAAAUUAAACAUAACUUUGAUGAGCUUAUUAAUUCGAUCAGCAAAAAUCAGUUGAUUCUAAAAGGCCAAACAAUUAAAGAACUUCAAUAACAAUAAUUAAUCGUUCAUCCAAUUCUUUUAGCUUGUCUUUUAUACUUUGGGGACCAACGAAAUUGGAUACCUUAAUCUCUAAAUUUUCACAUGUAUUAUAUUUUUGUCCGUUCUUAAUAAAAAGAAACUAAUUUUAAUACAUAAAACUACUGCUAAAUGUUGAAGCUUUAUGCAACAUUUGAGUAACUUGAACUAAGAAGAAGUUUGAGGCUCAUUUGGAAAAAUUACAUUAUGUGAAAAUUAAGGAUGGUUACACUUACAGAUUAAUGCUGUAAAUAAACAAAAAAAAACAACUGAAACAAAAAAUACAGGCUGAUUUCAUGCUUCUACUGUUGGAUGCUUUACAAAGACACCAUUCUCCUUAUUUAAGGAAUUAUUAAUACUCAGAACAAAUCUAUAAGAACAAGUCAUUAAUGAACAAGAUAGGUGACAAGAAGCGCUACAAUCAUAAGAACGUAAGCUAUUCCUUGGUCGAUCGCCUUCCCAUCGCUCGUCAAACAUGGCGCUACAGCUUCACCAGCCGUUGGUUGCAUCAACCCCGACACGAAAAAUGUGACGAAGAUCAUCGCAUAAACUCGAAUUGAAUUCAUUUUUCUAAAAAAAUUAAAAAAUCAAAAAACUAAAUAUUUGGAUUAUGUAAAUCUUAGUCUAGUUUUCUAAUUUGUUGAGAGCAAGUAAAGAGGAAGAGGUAGGAAUAAUUCUAUGGAGGGAGAGCUCUAGAGAUGUUUGCUUAUAUAGAGGCUUAAUUUAGUUUCGUGGGUUUUUGCUGGAGUAUUAAUUUGGACUCAUGUAGACGUGCGUUAAGGUCUAUUAAUUUGUACCCUUUUUUUAACUAUUAUUUCUUCGACAAAUAUAUUGACCGAUUCUUACAUUCCGAUGAAAAAUAGGAGUAAAAAAUCCAAAAGUGGAGGUCACCUAAUCAUCAAAUCAAUUGCUAAUUCGAUAUCUAACAUUUUAAUUUUAUGUCGCCGUACAAAGACCGAGCAUUUUAGGCCGGUUUUUUGUUUUCGUCACCAGGGGAGUCAAAACGAGUCAAACACGCACGAGCGUCUCUAAUAAAAACAAGGCAAAAUAAUGAACUUAUAUAAAUAAAUGAAAUAGCUAUAUAUCCUAUUAAAUUAUAAAUAACAAAACUUUUGAAAAAAUAAAAAGUUAAACGACUUACUUAUAAUUAUACUAAAAAAUAUCAUACUGAAUAAGUUAUGCUUGAAUAACUUAUUUCAACAUUCAAAUUGGCAUAAAAUCUUUCGAGAUAAAAAAUACAUAUGCUUAUUUUACAACCAUAUAAAUAUAAUAACUAUAUGAACAAAAAUGUCUUAAAAGUAUCUUAUAACAUCCACUUUACGUUAAGUCGAUAGGAUCUACAUAGUUAGUUCAAAGAUUAUCGUGAAAUCCAAAUUUUAUAAGACAAAAAAAUUAUGAUGUACUAAAAGCUAAAAAACAAUUUGUUUGCACGAGAGAAUCUAUUGAGAGACAACCAUUGAAAGCAUGCAAAUGUAUGGAUGUUAAAACAGUAAUAAAAUAUUGAUUAGAUUAAUUUUUUAUGAGAUAAUAUAUAUAUAUAUAUAGAGAGAGAGAGUCUUACCAAUAUACUCUUAUGAUUAUAAAUCUAUUUAUACUUAUAAAUUUUCGAUCGUUAAAUUUAUCUGUUUGAUCAUUUCCUCCCGUUAGAUAAUACUAUUCAAUCAAGCAUGCAUUUACUUAAUUUUAGAAGAACACUAUCGUCCUAAUCGAAAAUUGCUAUUAUCCCAACCGCACAUCACUCCAUCUAACGACUGAAAAUUUAUGAGAACAAAAAAAAUUAUACUCAUAAGAAUAUAAUAAAUCUAGCCUCUAUAUAUAGAGAGAGAGAGAGAGAGAGCAGGGUUACUGUGCUAUUAGGAGCACAGCAGGUCAUGUGCUCCUAACUUUCUAACCACUAAUUUGAUGAAUGGUUAGAAUGAGAGAGGGAGGAGAUAUUAAAGAGAAAUUCAAAGAGAAGAGAAAUUAAAACAUCCAAUUUUCCCCCAAUAUCUUCUCCCUCUUUCAUUCUAAUCAUCCAUCAAACUUGAUUCACUGCCACGUCAUCUGGUCUUAUGGUCAACAAGUCCUCGGCCCACCGUGAACUACAAGUUACAAGCAGGAACCGUAUAUCCCAGCUUCAAUUUUUUUUUUUUUUUUUUUUUUUUUUUUUUUUUUUUUUUUUUUUUUUUUUUUUUUUUUUUUUUGGUCCGACCACGUUCAAUAGCGGCCUUAAACGUACCGUUUGUCUCUUUCGUUCAACUCAAUCAAAAGAGGCGGCAUAAAGAGGACAACAUUAUGCACAAAGCUACACUGAUUAAUUUUAUUACUUAACAAAGUAAAAAAAAAACCUCCAAAACUAUUUAUAGCCUCCCCUACGUCUCUCCCUACCAAAACCAACAACUAAGCAUAUCCCAUUCUUCUUUUCUAGUUCUACAGCUUCUUAAUUUUCAGGAAAAUUGAAGAUGAGUCUAUCCGUUAGAGCGUGCGCGUUGAUCUUCACCGCCUUCUUCUUCUCAGGGAUGAUGCAGCUCACUUACGGGGAAGCAACCACAAAGCCAUGUCGCGAGAUCGAUGGCAAAGCGAUCGAUCAGGGGAUAGCCUACGUCCUCAUGCUCGUCGCGCUUUUCGUCACUUAUCUUGUUCAUUAGUUAUAUUUAUUAUUAAUUAGCUCGUACUUGAUCAACAUGAACAUGCAUGGGUUUUUUGUAACUUAUCUUCUUCUCUUUUUUGAGAAAAAAAUAGCAAGCUAGUGACAUAUAUAAGGUGUGUUGCAUUAUCGUACCACAUGCAUAUGACGGGCAUUGGUUAUUUUUCUAAUAUAUAGUCAUUAUUUGUGUGUGAUUCUUUCUAUAUGUAUAUAUAUAUGUAGUACUUUUUGUUGAAAUAUAUACACUAUAAACAUAUACAGCAACUCUGUUGCAUCCUUCAACACAAUGCGCAACCUUUUGUUGAUGAUAUGUCCGUUUCUGAAACUUUUUUUUUUUUUUUUUUUUUUUUUUUUUUUUUUUUUUUGAGAAAUAGGUAGCAAGCUACCUGCUUCAUUCAUUAAGUGAAAUGAAUUUAGCGUACAAAAUGGAAGCAGCUAGGGCCUCCAGACAGAGCCGGCUACAGUUUAACAAAACAAAACCAAAAGAAAAACGGGGACAAAAAGUAGACAAAGAGGAAGAGAAACGAACAACUCGGGACCACAAAAUCGACAACGACAAUGAGAGCGCGAGGGGCUUCAAAGUGUUUCGUUCCAACCUCUGAUCAUAGAGGCGACACGCUGAGCAGCCCAGGACACGUUAUGAGCCUCAUCGCUGAAGCAAAUGCUGUUUCGCUCCGUCCAGACGACCCACCAAAUCGCCACUAAAUGAGUUAGACUUUUCGAUCUUGAUUUGGGCUCAAGGUUCUCGGAGAUCUGUGACCAAAGCCUCCGAACAUCCCCCUCUUCCGAAAAAGCCAGCAAAAUGGGUCCCACUAUAAAACGAAGAUAUCGGACAAAAAUACAGUCAUGGAACAGGUGCUCACAGGUUUCAGAAUGUUCUGCACAGAACUUACACCAUUGAUCCACUGGACACCCUCGGCGAAUCAAUCUAUCCGCUGUGAGUAAUCUCUUUCGAAGUAGAAUCCAGACAAACACUUUAUGCUUGAGCGGGAUAUUUAGUCCCCAAAGGUGAUCGUACAAAGGAACAAUCACUCCUCCAUCCGUGAUAAAAUCGUAAAGGGACUUAACGGAAAAAGUUUGGUUCGCGGUCCAUCGCCAUUUUGGUAUGUCCUGCGUAUUCGAUGGACUAUGCCUAGCGAGCAGGCUCUUGAGUAGCGCAGUCUGCUGACGGGUCAGAGGAUCGGUACUUGCAGCCAGGCCUCUGGUUAUGAAACGCCAUCUCCAUCCUCUUUCGUUCCAGCACUGUGAAACAGUAGCUUCCUGAUUUGCGAUUCUGCAGAAUACUCCCGAAAAUCUGGUACUAAGAGGGGUUUCUUCAAUCCAAAUGUCCGACCACCACCUGAUAUAUUUUCCGUCACCGAGUACGUAGGAAAGACCACAUUUGAACUCAUCUUGACAACUCAUCACACUUCUCCACCACUGGGAGUGCGGUCUGAAGGAUCUUCCCUCAUGUAACGGCCUUCUUCUAGAAUAAUAUAAUACGGUGAUCAACCUCCCCCAUAACAGAUGCUUCUCAUUGAAGAAACGCCACCACCAUUUAGCCAGUAAAGCCUUGUUCAUUGCUUCCAUAUCCUUGAUUCCCAGACCUCCUUCUUUUCUGCUUUUACAAAUCGUUUUCCACCCAACGAGACAAGAACCCCCUGAAAUUUUAGAGCACCCUUUCCAAAAAAAGGACCUUCUAAGAGCUUCAAUGCGAUUCAGUACCCAGUGUGGCACUUUAAAAAUCGCAAAAUAGAAUAACGGAAGAUUCGCCAAAACCGAGUUAACUAGGAUGAAUCUCCCCCCUUGAGAGAGGAGUUUUGCCUUCCAUCCGUCAAUUCGCGUCUCGAUGCGAUUAAUGAUCGGAGUCCAAUCGUCCUUCCGAAGUGAUUUGAUAUGAAGCGGCAACCCUAAGUACCGAAACGGAAGUUUACCAACUCUACACCCCAAUAUCUUUGCGAGUCUUUUAGCUUUAUUAGCCGAGGUUCCCACAUGGAAAAGUUCAGUCUUGUUCAUAUUAAUCUUGAGCCCAGAGGCCCAUUCAAAUAUCUUCCAGAUGAAACGUAAGUUACGCAUCGCAAACUUUUUGGGCUCCGAGAAGAAAAUAGUAUCGUCCGCGUAUUGCAGAAUCACAGUCUGACACUCGGGUGCCGGUCCAAUUCCUUGAAGCAAGUUGUUACCUCUUGCAGUUUUCGUGACCCUAGCCAAACAAUCUGCCACUAGAAUAAAUAGAUAAGGGGAGAGCGGGUCCCCCUGUCUCAGCCCUCUUCUUGUUUUUAUCCAUUGUGUCGGCGAGCCGUUCACUAAAAUAGCGAUUUUGGCAUUGCAAAUGCAUUGUUCGAUCCAGUACCGCCAUUUGUCAUUGAAUCUAAGCCACCGUAGUAUACUUUGCAAGAAUUUCCAGCUAACUUUGUCGUAGGCUUUCUCAAAAUCUACCUUGAUACUGACGCACUCCUUAUUAGUUCUAGCGCACCAGUUGAGUAGUUCAGUUGCAGUGACGAAAGAGUCAGCUAGUAGUCGGUCUUUCAGGAAGGCCGAUUGAGAUGGAGAGAUAAUCGAAGGCAACACAUUCGCUAAUCUGUUCGCGAGCACUUUCGAGACAAUUUUUUGAAUACCAUUAAGGAGAGAGAUUGGUCGGAAAUCGUUUACUUGGCAUGCUCCUUCCUUUUUGGGGAUUAAACAAACAUAAGAGUAGUCCGCUGGUGCCGUACAAAGAUCAGAAUCGGAGAGCUCUUUGAAAAUAUCAAAUAUGUUAUCCUUAACCGUCUCCCAGAAGUGUUGGAAAAAGAUAAGAGGGAAGCCGUCGGGACCAGGUGCCUUAUCGCUACCAAGUUGAAAGGUCGCCUUUUUAAUUUCGUCCAUAGUAAAAGUGGUCGAUAUUCUGAAACAUUUUUUUAGUCAGAAAAUUAAUCACUCCAUUCAAAACCAUUCAAAAAAAAACCAUUUUAGUAGAGGAAUUAAGCAUGGCACCUCUAUGAUUUAUUACUUUAACAUGUAAAAACAAAAAUUGCAUCCCGAGAAAAUAGAAACUUCUCCUGAAAUGGGAGAAAAGGCCAAUAAUAAUUAGUACGUACAAACCCCUUUCCAACAGCAUAAAUUAGAACAGAGAAUGAGAAUAUAUAGUGUUCUCACACUUGACACCAUCACUUCAACCUUAUUGAACGCAAUCAAACUUAAAAGCAAAGUAGAGCAAAGAAACCAGAGACCUUAUAACCUAACUAGCAAAUUUUAUUAAGGCUUCUUAAGCUCAAGUCUCUUCCUAUUAGAAGGAGAAUUGAACCCACCACCUAUGUUGCCUUUCCAUCCUUUUCCUUUGUGAUGGUUCUUAAUACCACUUACUAUUCCAUGGCGACCUACACCGAUUCCGCGUAAACCACCGCCACCUCCCUCACCUAAUCCGCCUCCGGCUCCGGUGCCCCCAACGCCAUCACCGAAUCCACCACCUCCGCCGAACCCACCGCCUGCUCCGCCACCAAUACCACCACCUGCACCACCUCCUCCGCCGAAUCCACCUCCGGCUCCGCCACCAAUACCACCACCUGCGCCACCUCCGCCGCCGAACCCACCUCCGGCUCCACCACCAAUACCACCACCUACGCCACCUCCGGCUCCGCCACCAAUACCACCUCCUGCGCCACCACCUCCGCCAAUACCACCACCUGCACCACCGCCUGCACCAAUUCCACCUCCGGCUCCACCACCAAUACCGCCUCCCGCCCCGCUGCCUCCGCCAAUUCCUCCGCCGGCUCCACUGCCAAUACCACCACCAAUGCCACCUCCUGCACCACCACCAAUACCACCACCGAUGCCGCCUCCGCCACCACCGCCAAUACCACCACCUGCACCACCAGCUACGCCGCCAAUUCCAUCCCCGCCGCCCCCGCCUACGCCGAUCCCAACCCCCGCACCGACUCCGCCACCGACACCGAUCCCGCCGCCACCUCCACCGCCGAUCCCAAUCCCACCGCCACCCCCUGCGCCCACGCCCAUCCCACCACCACCGCCGCCACCACCAAUCCCACCGCCUAUUCCACCACCAACACCUCCGCCAAUGCCACCGCCACCACCAAUCCCACCGCCUAUUCCACCACCAACACCUCCGCCAACGCCACCGCCACCACCAAUCCCACCGCCUAUUCCACCACCAACACCUCCGCCAAUGCCACCGCCACCACCAAUCCCACCGCCUAUUCCACCACCAACACCUCCGCCAACGCCACCGCCACCACCAAUCCCACCGCCUAUUCCACCACCAACACCUCCGCCAAUGCCACCGCCACCACCAAUCCCACCGCCUAUUCCACCACCAACACCUCCGCCAACGCCACCGCCACCACCAAUCCCACCGCCUAUUCCACCACCAAUACCUCCGCCAACGCCACCGCCACCGCCAACUCCACCACCUCCACCAAUCCCACCUAUUCCACCGCCGACUCCACCACCGCCACCAAUCCCACCACCUCCUCCUCGUCCCUUUCUACCUUUCCCUGCACAAUCCUCAACCCUUAGUGUGCCAGAAUUAAACACUAGCUUCUUCCCGCUCUCUCUUCCUACCUUCACCCAACUCUCAUUGCCCAUAACGUUCACUACCCAACCCAAUACAACCAAGAAGAUCAAAGCUCGCUUUCCCAUACUAGCUGUAGUAGUAGUAGUAGAAGAAGAAGAAGAAGGAGAAGCCAUUAGAGAUGCGGACGUAUAUUCAUGUAGCAUACACCGCUGGGUUUAAAUAGAGGAGCUUGGAGGGACUAAUUUGAACUUUUUUGGAUUCAAAUUAAUUGUCCUUGUUUCGGGAAGCUGUAAGGAUUCAGGUGGCGGGUAGAGAACAAGACAAGUUGGUGUUUAAAUGCUGCGCCGCUUUACAUGAAAAAGCGCUUUUUGGAGUAGCUCCUCCCCGCCUUCUACGUGAGGGGAGUGAACCCAGUAUUAAUGCAUGGCCACCUUUCUCUCUGUCUCUAUGAACUUUCUAAUUAUUAUGGUAUUGUUACUUUGUCUUGGAAAGACGCAAUUGGAGAGAGAAAGAGAGAGGAGGAAUGUGGAGACAAUAAUAGCUAGGGUGUUGAGAUGAGAAAAUGAAACUUUAUAUUAAUUAGGUUAAUUAGGUUUGAUCGAGGGUGGUAGGAAUGUUUAAGCGCCACUUUGUCGCUCUUUUGCUUCUACUUUUAGCCGACUUAAUUUUGAAAUGAGCGUGUUCUAUGCGUCUUUUUUAGCACAAAAAAUUUUUGCAUGAAUGUAAAAAAAAAAUUAUAUCUUACUUUAAGUAGAGACUUUGACCAAUAAAUUUUUUUUAAGAGAAGGGUAGCACGCUACCCGCUUUAUUCAUUAAGGACGUGAAUUAAACUACAUGGGUGAGGUAGCAAGGCCUCGGCAAGUGACGAGAAGAUGCGAAAAAAAAAAAAGGAGGGGGGAAAAGAGGUACUAUUGGGUCAGUCGAUCUGGCGUAAGUUUCAUCCGCACGUCCUGAAAAUCGCCCCAUUCCGGAGGUCCAAGGUGAUCCACCACGCAGCUAUAAGUCCUAUGAAACGACGUACUGAGAUCGAGGAGGGUCUAUUUAUUUCAACCCAUCUGUCCCAAACCAUUCGCACAUCAUCUCCCAGGUCCCCGAGUUGGAAUUUCUCCUGGGUGUUUGCUAUAAGGUAUCUCGAGAUUACACACUGAGAGAAAAGGUGAUCGACGGUUUCCUCUUCCAGACCACACAACAUGCAUUUUGUAUUUCUAGUCCAGCCUCACUUAACCAAAUUGUCAGUUGUGAGCAGUCUCUUCUUUAGGACCAACCAGUAGAACAUUUUCACUUUUAGAGAUAAUAAAUUAGUUUGGAAAUUAUAAAUAGAACCAUAAAAUUUUGAAAAUAAAAUUUUUUAAAAGAAGUUAAGCAUAAUACUUCUUCUGAAAGCUCUACUAACACAGUAUUUCAUUCAACAGCACUGCAUUCCUUGCGCGGACGAGGGGACCAAGUUGUUUUGGCAAUAAAGUUCCGUAGUCGAUCGAAUAUCUCGGGCCGAGCCCAACACGGUAAAUUUGGGUCUGGUCAAUCCACAUCCUUCAUUUCAAAGCUCAAUUAUGGACAAAAUGCACAUGCUAAUAAAAAAUUAUUAAGGCUCAGUGCAUAAUAAAACAACCCAUGCAACUUGUCCUCGGUUCUUUGUUAAAUAAAAAAAUUACCCACACGUUUAUCCCUUAAAAAGGAGAAAAAUAAUUUAAAAAAAAAAAUCUCGCUCGACUGGGUCACCAAAUAAACUGAUCCAAAUCUAGCCUAGAGCUCGCUCGUGUUUGGCUCAAUCACACGGCUCCAGUUGCAUGCGCGGUCACUGUCUAGUCAAUCAAAUCGUGACCGCCGAUUUAAAAUUUCGAAUACGUAGGGUUGGAUUUGAAAUUGAAACUAAAGCUCUUUCCCUCCUCGAAGACGCUGCUCUAUAAAAGGAGAUCCCAUCGCCCCUAUUCCCGCGAUCUCCUCUCUCUCUCUCUCUCUCUCUCUCUCUCUCCUUCCUUUGAGCUCUCGCGAUGGAGCAUUCGAAGGCGAUCCUCGCGGCUCCCGCCCCCUCUGAAACCCUAGCCGCUUCCCAAGGCGAAUCCCUCAUCUCAGCUCUCCUUUACGGUACGAUCUCUCCCACGAAACCCUAGAUUCUUAGAUCGUGCUCAUCUUCGAUCGCGAUCUCGUGAGAGAUUUGAUCGAAAGCCGUUUUAAGCUUCUUAUAAUGAUUUCAUGCGAUCAAUCUCGUUUUUCCCGUUGCAUCAUUUGAUAUCUGAUGGAUUCCCUUGAUAUAUGUACACGGAAUUACAUAUCUAAGCCAAUCCCUAUUGAUUCGAAUUCUGCCAAAGAGGAAUUGACGUUGAAUUCUGGAAUUGAUGUUGAAUUCUAGUAGUUUUUUUAUUAAUUUCAUAACAAAUGUGAAAUUAGAUGCGUUCACUCCUCGGAUUUGUGAUUUGACAUGAAAAAAAGCUUCUCGGGAGUUCUAGUUUUGGUUAUGAGAGAUCAACGCUAGUGUUGAUGUGUUUCCACCAUACUACAUGCUCACGAGCUUUGAUUGUUGAGUAGUUCUGCAACAAACUUACACUAACGUGAAUUUUAGGGCAUAAUUCGAGUAAUUAUGGUAGAACUCUCAUAAUGGACUCUGAAUAUUAAUGAAUUAUAAAAAACUUAAUUGUAGAGUUUGGAAACAAAAUGAUGCACUCUGAUUUACUCUUCAAUUCUUGUUCAAAUGAACCUGUUCUGUAGCAAUGUACCCAUUAAGUAUACAAUAUAGUCAGUUAAGUAUAUAUGCUCAUAUUGGUAUAUGCUGUGAAUAUUUUGAGUGAUUAAUUGAUCUCUGUUCUUCAUUUUAGUAUCAGUUUUUUAAAUUAAUCCUGUUAUUUGGUGAGCAGAUGUGUCUCAACAGGUACAAGGAGCUAUUCAGAACAUGCUUAAGAUGACCAGGUGAGCUUUGUAAUGCUAACAUUAUUUAUUUUUACAAAUAAAUAAUCUAUUUGAUUGUGUGAACAAUGUUGAUUCCGAAACAUCUGAUAAAUAGUGAGAUCGAACAAAGCUCUUGCGAGAUAAUGGAAGAGAUCAAGAAAUGCAAGGAGUCCGUGGCCGUUAGAAAUAACAUCUUAGAGGAGGAGAGAGACCGUUUCAAGAAAGCCGCAAUGGCUGUGUUGGAAAUGCUUAAUGGAAGUGAGGCGCUUUGAGAGGUUUGCAUCUUCACUCAUUUUGCAGCAUAGUAGUUGUGGCUUUUAGUUGUAUAGCAUCUCAGUGAUUCCUUCCUGUGAAUUUUGAAUAUUGUGAGUAUUGGUUUGGCUUUGUAACAGACUUAAAUUUUACUUAGCUCACAUGUUGUUCUCUUAAUUGGAUGCUAUUCACAGACAGAGAAUGUGAAGAGUUUGAUAAGAACAAAAGGUGACAAACAAUCUUUUGAUCCUGUUGGCAUAUAUUAAUAAAGAUUAAUACAUCAACUCACUAUGAAUUAUUUUUGCAUGAGGAUAAUUGUUUUAUGUUGUUAUAAACGGUGAUAACAUUGAAAGAUUAAUGUGAAUUAUUUGUAUGUCAUAUAAAUGCUCCAAGGUAGGAACUAGGAAAUGUAGUUGCUUACACUCACGGCCUAAUUGUUUCUCUCAGAUGGUAGGCAAAUAUAAAGCUCUGUUAUACUUGAUUAUUUUUACUUUGUUUCUCUGAGAUGAGUUUAGCUGAAUAGAUCAGAUUAUCGAUUCUUCUUUUGCCAUCUUUCUCUUUUCCAAUUUUUAGGAGCAAAUAUUUUCUUUAUUGCCUAAUACAACACAGGAUGUUUCCCAUGCCAAUCGUAAAAUCUAGGCAUUACAAAUGGCACCUUCUCUAGUAGAGGAUUUCCUUUGUUUCCUUUAGUUUGCUGGCAUUACUAAGAUAUCUUUUCCUUCUCGCUGAGCAAGCUUUUUGGUUUUUGUGAAUAAGUAAUGAUAAAUCAUUAGAAUUAACAAGAGCAUUUUACGAAAAGAUUGAGCAUGCUUGUACUCAAGUACUUGAACAUUGAAACCAAUGCGUUGUUUAUGAAAUCAUUAAUUUAAUUCAGGUAUGCUCCCAAGAUUUGUCUGUGCGUGGAAAGGAAAUAUUGUUAUUAAUUUUUCCAUUUUUGAGGCGGCACCCUAGAUUUUUUGGACAGAUUUAUUUUCUUUCUCAUCCAUUUUGAUUUUCAUAUAAAAAAGAACAUAGUAUUAUAGCACAUCUUUGCUCAAUAUAUAUACAGGUGGAUAAUAUGAUUGCACUUCUCAAAUCUGGAUCACAAGGAUCUAUUCAAAAUUUGCAACUCAAAAAGAGUUUUCCACAUCAAAAUUUACAAAAUAACUUUCUUAUCCUCAUUUAACUGAUCUAUAUUGGCUCUUAAGUUCAUGCCACAGACAAAGCAAGGUAUCAGAAGCAUCCUCAUCCCAGCAUGCUUCAUUAAUCCCUGAAACACCCAGAAGCGUCUUUAGCCACUCUUCAUGAAGGGUUGAAAACUCUGAUCUCCCUUCGCUCGACUUGAAAUUGUCAGAGAUCUUUAGUCUCAUAUUUUGGCCAGACUUUGAAGCAGCUUCGACAAUUAUUUUUGGAAUCCCUGCCAUUUGGGCAACUUGCAAGCCAUAGCUCUCUGAGCAGGCUCCAUGAGCAAGCCGAUAGAGAAAGAUUAAUUCCCUGUCACCGUUAAAAGAGCUUCCAUUUUUUGGCAUGAAGGUGUAGGCCAUGUGUUGCAAGCUCACGUGAGGAUGCGAAGCAAAUUCUUUUGUGAGGGGAUGGUAGUGGGUAGCGAAAAGCAAGCGGCAGCAUACCCUUUCCACAAGAUGGCGAAAUACCUGGAAAUACAUUUUGGUGCUUAAGAUCUCGAACAUAACAAGUGUAUAAAUAAACAUAAGCUGAUUACUAAUGCCUUUAUGACAUGAGAAUUUAAUACUUACAGCAUAAGCAAUGGCAUAUCCAUCAAAUGUGCUUGUUCCUCUACCAAGCUCAUCGAGCAACACGAGAGAAUCUCGAGUAGCAUUUCUAAGGACUGAUGCUGUCUCAGCACACUCAACAAAAAAAGUACCUGAAAGAAAAAAAAAAAAGGUUACUAUAUUUGCAACUUGCAAUAGAGAAAAUUUACCGUGCUUUUUAGUCACCCACUUUCACCAGACAUGAUUCUAUCAGUUGCACCAAGCCUUGUGAAGAUAAUAUCGGCAGGUGACAGAACACAGGAUUCGCAAGGCACAUAACAACCCAGCUGCAAAAAAAUCAACACGGGAGGCAAAGCAAGUCAAAGACAAGGUUAAAUAUAAAUUUAGUCUCUGAAAUUUGACCCUGAUACCAAUUAUACACUGAGUUUCAAUUUUGACAAAUUAAUGCUUGAAGUUUGUUCCACAUAACGUAUGUGUUUGUGCUAGUCUACUGUCUUUGGAGAGACCAUGUCAGAAUCACUGAAUCUAAAAAAGUUGUCAUAUUAGAGUCUGCUAACUUAGGAUGAUGCUAUCGGCGUCCUACGUUCAAGACAAGAAUACUUGUUUAUGCAGGACAUAACAACUAUAACUGAAAAACAUGACAAAGCAAUUAUAGGUGUUGAACAAAAGGUCUAGAUUUGUAAUUAUCUCUUAUGUUUGUCUUCGAUAACAAGAGAAAUUAGCAUUAAAUAAAGCAAAAGCUUCUGAGUAAAUAACUAACCUGUGCCAAAAUAACAGAUAGACAGGUGGCACGCAUCAAAGUUGAUUUCCCACCCAUAUUUGGUCCAGUCAGCAGCAAAGCGGAAAGAUUUUGGCCAGUUGAAUCCUCACCAAGAGAGAUGUCGUUGGGAACUAACCCAUUCUCACAUUCUGCGAUGGCAUAUGGAUGCCACAGACCUUUCAUUCGAAGUAUGGGUCCUUUAUCUUCUUGGUUUGAUUUCAUCGAAUAUGAAUUACUACAAAGAAAAAUUGGCCUGCUCAUAGAGCAGUGUGAAGAAAUCGUGGUUGAUGCAAAGGACUGAAGCACAUCCAUGCAGUUGAGCACGUCAAUGACCUUUGACCAUUCAGUAGCCUUUCCAAUGAAGAGAUCGACUAAAACAGCUAAAGUGUCAGCAUCCGAAUCUUUCACAACAUGAUCCUAAUCAGAAUAAAAAAAAUUAGAAGAGUCAAAAUAUGAAUUGUUCUGAGUAAAUUGCAUCACUGAUACGAUUUCUAAAUCAGACAGAAUAACCAUUUCUGCAUCUCCUUUCAAUUGCAGCCACUGUUAAUUGAAUGUUAGGCGAAUAGAAAAGUGUGGAAAUUCUGCUAUAGCAGGAGGCUGAAGUGAGACCUUGAGCCCCAAAACCUUAAUUUCCAAUUCGGAGCUUUUGCUUUUGCUAUAGAGUAAACUAUUGAGGAGAUCUUAAUAUGGCUCCUCUCCUAAUAACACUACUCAAAACAACACUUCAUCAUACAAAACUACACCCUCCGGUAGAGCCCAAUCAGCUUUAAGCGUAAAAUAUGGAAGAUAUGCUAUAGAAUAUGAUGUCAAAGAGUUAAAAGCUAAGUCUAUGUGACUUGUUUACUAACUUGAUUAUGAUAGGUCAUCACUUGCUCACAUGCAGAUUACGCUGCUACUAGACCCUAUAUAGAUUAGUAUGUGUGGAGGGCUCAACGCAGCGUAUCCGCACAAUGCAGGUGGCAUGCACCACUUGUUAGAAAAACAAAGAUAACCCAAUUUAGAUGGGACAAAAAUUAGAUGGAUUUUUCAGACAAAUAACCUGGUAUUGAGGAAAGUCAUCAUCCAAAGCUACUUCAAACUGAUGCACUAGUUCGCACAGACUGCUAAGGGUUUGAAGAUUGACAACUUUUGAUAGUGAUAAGAUUUCAUGAUCUUCUUUCUGCAAAAUAUUCAGCAAGUCUAUUCCAAUUCGAAGACCUUUGACAAGAGACCCGAAUGUUUUCACCUGAAAUAUAACAGAGUCCAGAUGUUAAGAUCAGUCAAAUGGUCAUGAUAUAGCUAUCUCCUUGAGUAACAAAGUAAAAGACAAUCACUCUACAGAUAAACUUCCAAAAUGUUUAGAAAUUUACUGUACAUUAAGAGAACCACCAAAAAUUACAUUUAUUGGAUGAGUUGCACGCAAUGGGAACAUUCAAACAAUAUGUAUUUAUCAAAACACAAAUAUUAUAUAAAAGUUUACAAGAGCAGCAAUUAUUUGAGUUAAUGUGCAUAUGUUGCCUUUAAAGCACGCAAAAGAGAAGAUUAGUGUGAAUUACCCGUUGUUUUAAUACUCUAUCUCCAAUCAAAGGCAAGAGGAGAGCUGAUGAUGAACCAACAGUAGACUUAACUCGCCCUAACAGUCUCUCAAGGUCUGGAAUCCUACGAAGAUGCUGAACAACAAUAGAGACUAAACCUGAAUUUUUUAUGAAUCCCUCGACAAUAUUAAGCCUAUCGUUGAUAUCGUCAAUGUCCUUUAGCGGAUGGCAGAUCCACCUUCUCAAAAGCCGUUUACCAGAUGCAGUUAUACAAUGAUCAAGAUGUUUGUACAACGUACCUGCACCAAAAAAGAAAGAGCAAAUAAUGAAAAUACAGAAACAAUAUCUCAAACUGAAUAUGAUAACAGCAGUAGAAGCAAAUAUGUGAGUGGGAGAAAAGUUGGAUACAAACCGGAUAAGCCACCAUCAAUGUUAUUGUGGAAAAUUUCAAGAUUCACAAGAGUUUGACCAUCCAUUCUUAGGCAGCUUUUGUAGAUGUGGUAAGGGGAAAGUUCGCCAUUCCUAAGAGCAUCAUCUAGCUGUUUGCAGAUGGCAAAAUUAGAAUCAAAGAAGGAUGUUCAAGCUGUAACUAAAUCCCAGAAGUAUUACUCAAUAGUUUUAACGGAUAAAUCAAAAUCCUCAACAAGACCCUUUCGCAUGGAGGUCCCAAUUGGUUAAUAUGUAUAGGAUAAUCAAACAGUUUCUGAAAACAAUACAAAAAAAGGACUACGACUGAAACGUAAAACUAUAAACAUACCGACCUGUAGAAAAGAGAAAUUGGAGUUCAUAAGACUGUUAAAGGUAAAGUAUCCAGAUAUUGAUACAUAGUCCCUAAACCUUCGCUUUAAACACCUAAUUCUCAAGAAGCAACUUUACCUCAAUCCCUGAACUUUCUCAUAUAUUGCAAUUUAUCCCUAAUCGCUAAAAAAAUCUGACUACAUGAAUUUUCGAGAGCACUGAUUUUUAACCCUGUUUCAAGAUCACUGAUUUUUAACCCUGUUUCAAGAUCACUGAUUUUUAACCCUGUUUCAAGAUCACUGAUUUUUUAACCCUGUUUCAAGAUCACUGAUUUUUAACCCUGUUUCAAGAGCACUUAUUUUACAUGAGAAGGGGUCAAAUGGGCAGUUUAUAGAAUUCUUUGAUGCUCAGGGAUGGAAUAUUGAAACAGUACAACAACUAUCUGCAUAAUUUACCUUAAACCUAUUUCAUACUUUAGCUAAUUUAAGGGAUGUCAGACUAACUAGGAAACGGAAAGAAAAGAGGAAAAGAGAAAUCACCCUCACCAUAAGCCUGGACAGGUGGCCAACUAGUCCACCAAGAGCAGACAUAACAAGGUCAUGAUUCCCCAAAGAAUCAAGAGCUGAAAACCAUGAGUCUGACAAUGCUCUAAAAUACCCUUUAGUAUGUAUCAACUUUCGAACUUCAGCGGCUUCCAAGAAAUCUGCGCUAGGUAGUGGUGUCAGUUGCAUCUUAACGGAACCUGCAUUUUAAGAGAAAUUAAUAGAGCAUUUUAUAUGUGGUUCAAUGACCAAUGGCAACUGACCACCACUAUUCAUUGUAAAUAACAAAUAUGUUCUAAGAUACUACUUCACCACCGAAUCAUAUUUGAGGCUCUACUCCUAUUAAUUAUAAUUUUUCCAAUCUCACAUCAUCCACUCUAUAAACUUUUCUAACAUCUUCACCAUCUUGUUUCAAUGACAACCAAAAGACCAUCUAUGAGCCUCCAUAUAUACCUUGUCAAAUAAUCAAGUGUUGGGUUUGUGCAUAUUGUAUUGAUCAAAAGCUAAUGCUCUAUGUCCAACUCUGGUCUACUCCAGAGUCAUCACCAUCUCAACAAGUUUCAACAUACCAAUAAGAAUCUCGAAAUUAUAUUUCUUGGGGUAAGAGGCACGAGAUAAGAGGCACAAGAUAACUCAAAUGAGUCAUAUAUUUAUCAGCUGUGAUUAAACUAUUUUGCAUGACCAUCAAAGAGUACUAUCUGAUAAUCCAAACAGUGCUUACCUGCUGAAGCAUAUUUAGUGAGUGCCAUGUGAGUUUCUUUAGAAAGCCCUGAGACAAUGAACUACCAAAUUUUAGUUUGCAAACCAACAACUUAAUAGAAAGUCCUUUUGUUCAAAUCUGAGUUAUAUAGCCUGAGAUAAUGAAACAACAUUCAACAACUUAUUAAGUCCAUUUUUGGCUCAAACCUGAACUUUCAUAGAUUACUUCUCUUGGAGAAACCUGCAAAAAGGAUGCAUUAAUAAAUUGUGGAAGUCCAUUGGACCAAGAGAAUCAGAUGAACAGGAGAACUUACUUGCAUCAGCAAAGCACCUAUAGCUGCACAAGAAUCAUCAUCAAAGAUGGAGCCAACCCAAAAUUUCAGAGAAGCAUGAUCCAGAAAAGCAAAUCCAUAUUCAGUUGAACCUUUCUCAGAAACCCUAUUUCCCUAUACGUAAAUUGGAAAGAGAAAAAUAAAACCUUGUGUGAAAUACUUAAAGUAUGCAUUUACGACCAGCAUUACACUUUUGUCAAAAGACUGGCGUGACACAAUUUGGAAGGUUUAAAUCAGUUUGAUAAGUGUAUGUCAAAUCCAAGAGAAAUAGCAACUCCACCAAAUGCUAACUAUAAGAUAAAAAAUCUGUGAAAUUAAAACACCUCUUUUAGAGCAAGAAGGUGGACGGCAUCUGGUCCCACGCUGCCAUCAACCAAAGUUGAUGGUGUGGAUACAUGAACUAACUUCCUCUGUAUAACCUGAAGAGACAACGUUUAUAUUACAACAUAAGAUAAAACAAACAGAUAAAACAAUUGGACGACCUUUAUAGUCUGAAACAAAUAAAACAAACAUAUGGAAUCAAGCCAAUUGGGCACUUAAGCACAACAAUUCUGGAAGGAUCAGAUCUGUACAACAUCUUAAUAAAUAACUACAAUAGUAAAUGAACCUGAAAUGCAUCUUAAAUCAUCACGAAGAAGAGUUUAAGAGAUAAACUUACCACUGCAUCUUCUCAACUAAUUUAUUGUUUUUAGCAAAAGGUAGUGAGUAACCUAAUUCAUUCAUCUGGCCAAUGAACAAGACUACAAGUUUGUCAGAUUAUUGGACAACAUUUAUAUUCUGAAACAGAUAAAACAAACAUAUGGAAUCAAAAUCCAUUGGGCACUUCAGCACAACAAUUCUGGAAGGAUCAGAUCUGUACAACAUCUUAAUAAAUAACUACAAUAGUAAAUGACCUUCAAAUGCAUCUUAAAUGAUCACGAAGAAGAGGUCAAGGGAUAAACUUACCACUGCAUCUUCUCAACUAAUUUAUUAUUUUUAGUAAAAGGUAGCAAGCUACUUGCUUCAUUCAUCUGGCCAAUGAACUAGACUAUGAACUAGACUACAAGUUUGUCAUAUCACCAAAUUUUUAGCGACUGGAAACGUAUUCAAUAACUAAAAUAGCCUAUGAGAAAAGAAACACAAGAAAAAAGGCAGAACCAAAGAAUCCUUCAAUUUAGAUGACGGAUAGUCUAUGUGAUACAAAAGCUUAUAACUAAAACUAAAAGACAGGACCAAACUCUUGGAACUAAGCAAAGUGAUAGAAAGCUACAGACAAUAUUUACACUAGAGAAAAAUAAAAGAACUGGCAGACUAAACAUUAAGAUGUCAUGGUAUCGCAUGGAGUAUGCUUUUGAUAUUGAUAGGAGGAAAAAUAGCAAAAAUAUCCAUUUAAGUUUGCUAAUAGGCAUCGCUAGAAGAGAACCAAUAAUGUAUUGUUAGAUCUUUAUUACUUACAGAAUUUGGUCCUCUAGCUUUGGCCUGGUCAGAGGUCUCUAGCUGCUCAAUUCUUCCAACUUUAUACCUACGAUCAAUGUAGAGAUUAUAAAUAACUGGUAGAUAAGAGGAUUGCCAAAGUAAUUAUGUUUCACAGGGCAUUCAACAGUAGCAUGACUUUCUGCAUAUCAGGAAACAAUUGGCUAGUUAAUUACUAAAAGAGUUUCCAAUUGAAAUUUUGCAUCUUGAAUACAUGCAAUCAACUAAGAAAAGACAGGACAAGUGUCCAAUAUAUUGUGAUAUAUGAAAGAACAUGUGCCUUCUAGCUAAUAAUGGCCUGACAAUAUAAGUGCAAUUGCAUAGAGAAUUCAAUUAAGAAACUGAGGAUGAAUCCAGAAAACAAGUUCCUUACCCUCGAGCUAUAAGCUUCUGAACAGCUUCAUCAAUGCCUGCUUCAGAAAUACCAACCUGUACAUGACGAGCAUGGAUGAGAAGUUGUAUAAGCAAUGAUGGUUUGUUGUAAAAACUGGAGUAUUGAGUCCUUGCUCCCUGAUUGUAUCAAUAACCAAUGAACUAAGAAAUGUUUUUCAAGUUGAGGCCUCAUAAAUACAUAUUAGCUGUCAACAAUCUCAUUAAGCUGGUGGGUGUAAAUAUUACCCUCAUGGCUGAUUUUGACCAUCGAAAGCAUGAUAUAAUGCAGUGGAAGAAACAAAGCAAUUGCGCAUGUGAGUGCCGUUGAUCAGAAGUGUGCAAGUUAGAUGAAAAUCAUGAGGCCAAAUAAUACGUCUUAGCUACAUAAAAAUAAACAAUACGUCUUAGCUACAUAAAAAAAAAAGAGUCUUAGCUACAUUACACAAUACUGCUAUAAUAAACAUGGCUUUUCCUUUUAAGCAUAUAAGAGAUGUACCUGUCUGCAUUUGCCCACACCACUAAUAGUCAUUUUCCAGUCAAGCUCUUUCUGGCCAAUCUCAGCAUCUAGCUCAUACAGCUCAUAAAAUUUACCCUGUGAAUUAGGAAAUACAAAUAAUGAGUACAAACAAUGCUCUAGAUAUUUAAUUUCCUUGGUGAAACUGCAAGCCAGCCUGCUUUGCUAAAAACCAAAAGAGCCCGCAAUGCCAGUAAUAGAAAAUGUGAAAGCUGCUUUUGAUGGAAAGAAUUAGCAAUAAAAGAAGCAUCAUAGAAUUACAAACAAUUAGGACAAGCAAAUAACAAGCGAAUAAAACAAGCAAUGAAAAGCAUAUUCUAGGAUUGAAAUAGAAUAAAUUCAUCAACAGUUCGAGAUGAUUAAAAAGAGGUAAGAUGCAUAUGUAUUUUGGAUCCACAAUUUACCUAUCUGGUUUCACAUGUUAUAGACCAGAAAAGAUUUUGUUUUAAAAUUUUGAGAUACACCAAUAAAUGAUCAAAGCCUCACCAUUCCAGUCGAACUAAACUUAACAUAAGAGUCAUUUCACUCUAUAAAAUUCUUCCAUCCACUUGCGACUCCAGGAGUAAAGCAUCAUAAUUAGUGUACCAUUAAAUGAAAUAAAUUUAUGAUUGUCACUUUUAGUGAUAUCUAAUAUAUCAGUUCUCUUUUUUGGUUCUCAAAGAGCCUAUCAUUUGGCUGUCAACUAAAGAAUCACGUAAAAAAACAUAUGGAACCAUGAGGUUAUAUAUGGCAUACAAGGCAAUUUCUAAUAAAACAAAUAGCCGAUUGUGAGUUUAGACAGGACCGUGUAACCAUUUAGCAUGUAAUUGCAACAAUUAUUGCCACAAGAGAGUUAACAAUUAUUUUACCAAGUAAAUAUUGUUUUCCACAUCAAAGAAUUUUGCAGAUUACAUAGGAUAUCAUAAUAAUUCAUUAGAAACUUACUACUUUGAAAAAGAGGACAACAUCCAUGUAUUUGCAUUUCUCGCUCCAAUACUGCUUUUGAGAUGCUGACAUCUUUUUCAAUGCAUCAGGUGGAAUGUAUAGAGUUCUCUUGUCAUAAAAUGGGUCGUCUGCUCGCCUUCCAUUUGCAUCUCUAAUUCUGGAAGGAUUGAGCCACUCAAAUUUGCUGCUUACACUUUCAGAAGCUUCACUUUGAGCCUUCUUUUCAAUUAGAGAAUCAUGAAGUGACUUCGCCCUUUUGCUAGAACAUAGAGAGGGAGAGCCCUGCUUAUUGUUCAUGUCAAGGCAAUCUUCUUGAACCCGCUUGAAACGAGGAACACGCGGCCGCAUAGCUGGGGUUUCUGGGCCCAAAUUAUCUGCAUCGAGAUCAAAUUGCAGAGGACCUUCUCCAUUGAAGUCAGUGGAAGACACCGUAAUGAACGUCUUUGAACGUUCUGUCAAAGGAGUUUCAGUUUUUACACAUUCACUGCUCUCACCAAGAGGCCUGGUGUCAAAAUUCAAGGAACCAGAGGCCUCUUUGUUUCUGCAAAUCAUAGAAAAAGAGUUAGGAUUUUUCAUGGAGAGCAACUUAAUAUAAGUAUGUAACUACAUUACAUGUGAUACAAUAAGAUAGUGUUUAAGAUCAGUAAUCCAGUUUUAAUGAUAGCUUCUCGUCGGUACCGUCCGAGCACCAGAACACCCUUUCUACAUUCUGGUGGAAAAAAAAAGGACGAACAAUAAGGGCCUAAGGGGAAAUCCAUAGAGAAUACUCCGUUACUCCACACUCAGAGUUUUAGACAGGUCCAUAAAUUAAAAUAUCCUCCAAUUAGUUAAUCCAUGAGAUAAAUAUAGUCUCCAAACAAAAAGAUGCAAACUAAAUCCUGAAAUAAGUGAAUAAGCCACAUAUAGGUAAGAUGCAAACUAAAUCCUGAAAUAAGUGAUAAGCCACAUAUAGGUACAAUCAAGAGCUCAUUUCAGAAAAGGAGAAGACGUAGAGCUGGAGCAAUCGUUAACCUAGUUCAGGAAGGAACACGUACUCCCUCAUUAAGUAUCGUCAGAUAGUUCCAUAGAUCUAAGCAUCGUUUAAUUCGUGAAUCAAUGUUAUGUAAUUCAUACUCCAAACAAAAUGAUGCAAACUAAAUCAUGAAACUAAGUAAGAAGGAACGUAGGAAAACGAUCGAAAGCUCAUUUUAAUUCUUAAAAAAAAGGAGAACGAUCCAGAGCUGGAGCACUCGUAACCCUAGCUUAGCAACGCACACAUACCCCUUGAUCGAGCUCUCCGAUCUGUUUCCUCUAGCAAACUUCUGCAUGAUGCUCGAGAUCGGCCGAGCUCCACCGCCUCCGCCAUUGUUCGCCGGGAAAAAUGGCCGGCGCAACUUCUCCGGCGGCGUAUCGGUCCCUCGGAUCUCGGGGAACGCAUCGCGGAGCGGCUUCUCCGCUACGGAGUCCACCGGCGGCGGAUUCCGGCGGUGGAUGGGAUCAGGAUUCGGAGAAGCUCCGCCGUGGGAUCUCUCCGUCUCCGACGAGGGCCUGCGGAGGAAGGAGAGGAUGGAUCUCUGGCGCUGCAUCGUCGCUCUACUCUACUAAAGAGAGGAGAAGAGGGAAAGCCUUUUCACGGUGGAAGGGUUUGGGGAUCGAACAUUUUGGAAUGGCUACUUCGGGAGUGGGUUUAUAUAGGGAAGCGGGGAAGUGGGAGGUGUUUGGCGGCAAUGGAAAUUGGAAUCAGAAAAAAUUCGAAAAUUAAGAAAAUUAAUGCCGUAGAGGGGAAUGAUACGAGUUUGAAAGUGACGAGACGAUUCAGUGUAACGGUCGUAUACUAACGAGCUCCGAGUGAUGAUGGUCGGCCCAAACCGUAGCUGAAAUGGACGGAGUGGAAAACGGGCCGGGCCGGUGCUGAGUCAUUUUGAACUCGAUCCUCUUCCCCUACGCUGAGCACAUAUGGUCCGAGCUUCAUUUCGGCUCGCGAAACUGCAAGUUCACGCCGUACAUCAACAAUCGUCACCGAUGUGUGAGUACCUAUUGCGCGCCACCAAUUUAUACUAUCAUCCAUCACCCAAUCAAAAUUGACCAUCAAAUCUUUUAUCAGAGACGAUUGGUAAUAAUUUUGUCUGUGCACAUUAGAGCGGUUUAAAAUGUUCUUCAACAACAAAAUGAGCCCAAGUUUGGCCGCUCUCGUGAGUUUAUGACCAGAGAAAAAAAAAAUAUUAUCAACAAAAAUUCCUCAAAUGUCUCCAAACAAAGCAGAGAGUAAACAACCGGAAUGUACCUUUUUCCCAUUAAUCCCUCUCCAAAAAUUGAGUCGCCUACUAUGCAACAAAGAACCUUAUACAUAUUUUUACUUACCAUGAUUUCCUAAGCUCGUUUUGUGCUGAAUGUGGAAAACUCUCCAAAUAUACUGAUUGGCCUUUAGUAUAGUCAGAUGAUAUCCUUCAUUUCACCUGAAUCCAAAUGAGGGAAAAGGUACUGGUCAAGUUGUAACGUAAAACAGACUCGAUAUUUACUGUCGUAUGCUGAAACUUACGAAAUGAGCGCAAUAAUAAAAUUUUCAAUAGGCUGUAUUGAUCAUCUGAAAAACUAGCUUGAGUAUCACACAAUAAUGUACUAAUGCGGUUCAAAUUUCUGUAAUUGAGGGUUCACUUAUUGCUGCGGGUCAGGUCAACCCCAAUAAUUAUAAUUUAUACUCGUUUUACAUGUAAUUCUUAUUAUAUUCAAUGAAACGUAUAGGAAAUAUUCUAUACAUUCCUAUUUUAAAAAAAUUGCAAGAACAAGUUAGGGACCCGUAAAACAUUUCACUGUGUUACCAUAGUAAAUUCCAUCAUUAGCCCCCUCUCUACCUGAGCAAAGCAAUGCAUUUAGGGUGCGUUUGGUUCACGCUAUCUUUUAAAGAUUCCUAUUAAUCCAAUGGGAAUAAAAAAAUAUGACGGUAUUUGGCUAAACGCACUACAUAAUCUAGUUGGUAAUAUUGGAUUCACUUGGGAAUAAGAUUCACCCCAAAGUAUUAAUCUCAUUCCCUUGAGGGAGGGUGAGUAUCCUCAUAUUAAUGGAUUGGGAUAAUCAUAAUAUAUCUAAUCUCUUUCUUUCUUCCCACCCGCCGGCUAAUUGAUAUUAUUUUUCUUUACACUCUAACCUUAUAUCUCUCUCUAAACUUAUUUUUCUCGUUAAAAUUCAACUUUUUUUUCUCUCUCUAAACUAAACUUUCUCUCUCUCUCUUUCUAAAAUCCCAACUCUCUCACUCCCUCUAAUUUUGACUAUAUUUUUCUUUCUUUUUUUUAAUUAUGCUCUCUCUCUCUCUAACUUAUACUCUCUCUCCAUUUUUUUUAAAAUUAUGUUGAAACUUUUGGUAACAUUAUCUAAAAUUAAUUAAAUAAAAAAAUUAAUUAAUUGUAUAUUUUUUGUAAUAUUAAAUAACAUGCCUAAUUAAUAUUACCGUACGAACCAAACACAGAAAUUUUAUAUUCUUAGUAAUAGAAUGAAUAGAAAUAAAAUUCUCGGAUAUCUUUUAUUCCUAAUAAUCUUUCAUAAUGCGAACCAAACGCACUCUUAAAGUGAUCACAAAGAGAUGAAUGGAGCUUUUGUAUUGAGUGAAGUUGACGCAUAAUAAGUCUACUCUGCUGUCGGAUUAGGAGUACCAUCUGAUUUCUGUGUCCAUUGGCUCACUGUUCUGCUCUGGGGCCGCAUUGUUUUCUUGAGGCUGCCGCCAUUGCCGCUCGAGGUUGGGGUGUCUCACCAGGAGGCGGGGUUUGUGGCUUAGUUGGUGGCGGCCUUGGCUUUGUCAAAACCUGUCCAGUAGGUGUCGUAUGAACAACUUUUAACUGGUUGAUUUGUAAUAAUUCAUUUUGAUCGGAACAACUUGUUUUGUCCAAAUUCUCUGAUGUUUUGAUAUAAAUUAAAAAAAUAUUUCUCUUACUUCGGAAAUAUUUCUAGAACCGAAUACAGUCAUAGUGUUUGUGUAUAUAUGGUUGAGAGCACAUACUUUAAAUAAGACACAGAUUUAGUACCUGGGAAGUGCUUCGAAAGUAAAAUCAUAGUAAAUAUUAUUUUUCCGCAAAUACAUUUGUGACUGUAAAAAUAUUUACACUCAUGCUUUUAAAACCUUCUUUUAUUUAUCUACAUGUAUACCCUACAAAAAAGUAUUCGUGCAAUUUGUUAUAAUUAAUGUAAGUAUAGAUACUUCCACUGCACAAAAAAUUCAAAAAUUUUCAUAAGAAGAUUUACGAAUAUUAGCUUUGUAGGGAUAUUUUAGGCAAAUUUAAUUUGGAGGAGUGAUUUGUAUUAACAUAAAAAGAAAACUUUCGAAAAUGAGGGGGUGAAAAUAGGAGACAGGUUCCGGCGGGAAAUCUCCCACAUUUUCCAAAAGUUAAUCUCCGUUCCCUCCAAUCUCCAUCGAUUCUCCUCCACGCCUCCUCUUCGCUCUCCUCUCCUCUCCUCCUCUCAUCGUCCUCAAAUCCCUAACCCAACCCCGCAAUUUUUCCUGCGCCUUUUCAAAUUUCAAAAUGGCGGAGAAGCGCGCAAAGCGGAGCGUGGCGAGCCACGCGAUCCCUGAGGAGGACGUGGUCGUUCUCGACGAUUCGAGCCCUUCUCCUCCUCAUCAUUCCGGAUCUCAAAUCGCUCGGCUUCAGCUUCGACGCCGAUGGGAGCUCGCCUCGGUUCUUAACUUCUUGCAUGUAAGAUUGAGAUCGAUUUGAUGACCUUUUUUUUUUUUUGUUUUUUUCCUUUUCUUUGAUGUUUGUAGUUUUUAAUGCUUGGUUUUGAGGUUUGAUGUUGAUUUUUUGGGGUUUAUUUAGGUUUUUGAGCCGCUGAUCCAAAGCGAUCUUAAGAUAUCUGCGGAAGAAAUCGAAAUGGCGUUGAUCUCCCCGAACGAUGCUUUGGCUCAGCUUCACAUUGCCCUUUUGAAGGUUCUAUAAGGAUUGUGGAUUCACCGAACUUUAAUUGCGAUGAUUUUGAUGAUUUACUAGAUAUAUUGGUUCAAUACUUGCUCAAUUGAGGCACGGAUUAGUACUUCUGUGAUAAGUCGAUCCGAGACAUUUUAUUUCAGUGUCAAUUUGACCAACAGCAUGUUUGUGGUUCUCUUAUUACAAAACAUAUCGAUUGAUGCAGAUGCACAAAUAAGAAAAGAGUGCUAAUUCACCAUUGUAACCUUUUAUUGUUAGGGAAUAGGAGGCUUGAACUCGGCAUUAACUGUGUGAAUUUUAGUAGACUUGCUGAAUAUUUUAAUCUUCCUCUAUGCAUGCUCUUUUGUUCGAUAGUUGGACAAGCUUGAUAUAUACGGCUUUCAUUUUCUAGCAAUAAGCCAAUAAGUUAGAAUUUUGACAUGUUCGGCUGUUAGAUGAUAAAAAUUUGUUUUACGCUGUCUCUAAAUAGAACGAAUUCAUAUAUAAUUAGAUGGGAGGGAUGGUUAAUCUACAAACAUGACUCGAUAUUCAUUUUCAAAGCAGAUCUUCAAGUAUGCUAUAUGGUCGCCUAUGAAUGAUAUUCUUGUGCUCAUGUUUUCCAGUAGAAGUUUUCGAGUUUCUGUUUAUACAUUUGCAGAAGUGUAAUUGUUAGAUAAAUGCAGAAUAUGUAUCCUGAGAAAUCCUACCGAUUUUUUGAUGCCAUAUUUCUCCAAAAAAACAAUUGUGUGGCCUGUUAUAAUGUGCAAUUAAGCUGGUCGUUAUUUUCUUUUUCUUUUUGGCAGAGUGCACCAUCAAUAGAAUAUCUAGAAAAUAUGUUGACUGUGAUUUUUUUUCUUUUAAUUAUCAUAUAGGGAAUACCGCCAGUACACAGAAGUCUUACAGAAUCUGGCGCAUGGGUAACAGCAACCUGUAAAAAACUGGCUGAAUGGUGGCCGUGGGUACGUUUGAACUGUAUGAUAUUAAUUAUUGAGUUCAUAAUUUUUAUUUAUGAUGCAAAUACGAGUGCUUAAAGUACCUUCGCAUUUACGCAGGUUGCUGAAGGUGAGAACCCACUCAAAGCUGAUCAUGGGUAUGCAUUAAUUAAGUUCUCAAUACCCGUUUGUUAGGUCUUGUUGAAGCUUAUCACUAUGUGUGGGUCAAUCAAUACUCUUCUUAUUUUUGCAGACGGGAGAUAACUUUGUAUGGACAACUCGAUCCUGAAACUCGUUUGCUAAUGUUAAAAGCACUUUGUGAAGUUCGCACAGAAGUAAUUCUUCUUCCCUUGUGGAUUUAGUACUUUGAUAUUUGAAUUUGAACUUUGACGUAUGAUAUGCAUGCAUACCUGUAUUGUUGGUUAGAUUACAGUUUGUGUUUCUGCUUAUAUUGCUUAUGCAUCUUAUCUUUAAUGGGUGGCUAAUGCUGAAUUUGGACUUUUAACUGCUUUUUUGUCUGCUAGUGGCUUCAAUGAGAAUGAAGAAUGCAACAAUGCUUGAGUUUACUUUGUUUUCUAUGAAGUUUUUGCUGUGUUAACAUCCAUAUCAAUGCAGCAAGAUGAUGUGCUGAGAUAUAUCACUGACGAACUGAAAACGGGAACAGCAGUUAGUACUUUCCGUAAAGAAAGGAUAGCAAGCGAUGGCAAUGGAACUACCUACUGGUAAUAAAUGGAUGAUAAAUCUCUGUAGGUGUUUGGCAUUUCAAAACCUAUAUCAGAUGAUUUUAUAAAUUAAAUUACACUUUUGUCCAUUUUUGGAGUUAUGCUCUCAGCUCACAAUAUGUUUAUGGGCUAUAGUCACAAUACCUGGAAGAUGUAUUCUACUAUUCUGUACAGUUGCAGAGAGUUUUAUGUACUAGUAGAUGGAUGCAGUAACUGUGUGCAUGGGAUUGACCUACUUUCCUCCUGGUCAUAAGGUAUGAUGGAGAUCCAGUCAUUGGUCAUCGGUUGUAUAAGGAAGAAGUUAAAACCAAUUUCAAGCAGGAUUGGAGGGCCAAGGGCACACUACCAGCUAAUGAUUUUCAAUGGGAAACAAUUGCGACUGAUCUCAAGGAAUUUCGGGAGAUAUCAGUAAGGCAACUUUAUUUAAUGCUGUCUAUGUAGUUUUUCCGAGUGUGUGUGAUCUUACACUUAAUCCAUUGGAAUUUCAGGAGAAUCUAUCAUCUAGCAUGGUUUCAGCAGAAGCUGCAGUUGGGGAGAUUGUUAAAGUUGAAAUAAUUCCCCUUCUUGAGGAAGUUCAAAAGGUGGAAGUCAAGAUUAUCUCACCUUUGAAUUACUAAUGGCCUAUGUUGAAUUCCCAAAAUUACAGCCAGUUAACACCUUGUCUAUCUUGUUGCUUUUCUUUUUUUUUUUCCCUUUGAGACUAAUCGCUAACUUCCCCAUUUGGAACCACUAACAGAAGAAGGAAAGGGCAUUUAAACGCCAACAAAAGCAAGCAAUGCUGUUAUACAAUUCUCAGAGUUCUCAUGGAAUUAGAACUUUCCGAUGUCGCCGUCAGCGUAGGCCUGUGAACUAUACUUUUGGUAUGAUUCAUACUGAUAUACUCUAGGAUUGCUUCUCUUAAAUUUCUUGUUGCAGGUUUGCUAUAAUUAACUCUCUAUUGUAGGAAAACUUACCUGACAUCCUGUAUUACUUUAAUUAUUGUCAGUAUUAUAACCAGGGAAAAGUGUUCCUGCAAUACUGAUUUAUCAUCUUUCUUGUUUUCUGACACAGAUGAUUUUGACCGCUCUAUAAGUGAGGCUAUCGAGAUAUCAAAGUGAGUAUGACACCAUCCUCGAAAGCUUUAAUUUUCUAUUUAUUGGUUCUUCUUAAUUGUACCAUACGACAGAUUUUCACUCAAAUUGAGUGCUAAAGACUAAUGACCUGGUUUCUACUUUCUACACAAACAACCUGUUCUGUUAUUCUGUUAAGCCUAGAAAGCGCUUUGAGCCUGCCAUGCUACCAGAGUCUAAAGAUCUUAUAGCCAUCUUCCAAAAUAAGAUAAGCAUUUCAUUUUCCAGCCAAACAUAUGAUAUCUUCCCUGCUGUAGAAAGAAAUUAAUAAUGAAGUUUGUGCCUUUUCUAUCUGAAAUCCUAUCAUUUUUCAAUUCAAACUUAGACACUCUUAUUUUAUUGUGCAUAGACUGUUUAUAGAGCUUUCACUCUUGUGCUUUGUAACGAAGUGGGAACCUUUUCUCCUUGAUCUUUUGUAUCACAUUCCUACAAUAGUAGAGAAACAACAGAAGGAAAGCAUCACACUCUACAGUAUAUGCUACUUAAGGUCAAAUAGAUUGUGAUUUAGAUGGGCUUGAAGAACUUGAAAAUUAGUGGUUUGACUUCAUGCUAAACAAUAUGGCUUAACUCUUCAUCAUGAAAUAUCAGUGCAUUUCUUUUGUUGUGCUAUUUUGUUUUUCCUAAAAUUGUGGUUUCUUAACUGCAAUUACAGGAAAUCUCAAUCCGACAGAUUACAUAAGGAUGCCGGGAAACAAGCUCACCAUGUGUCAACCAAGAAGUCAAAACCCUCUAAUGCAGCUCUCUCUCUAGACGAAGUAAACUCUAGUCCAGAGCAUGAUGGUGUUGAUGCUGAUGAUGACAACAAACACGAAGAAAUCAUCAACCGUGAUAAUGAUGGUGAUGAUGAUGAUAAUGAUGAUUGUGACGACGGCGACUACAAUGAGAAUGAUGAUAAUCAUGUUGAAAAUGAUGAUGACAAUGAUGAUUCUCAUCCAAGCGACUCUAAUGAGGAGAAGAAUGUCCUUCCUGCGCGAUCAAAGCUAGCUGGUCAUAAUAGAUUAAGCACUAAGCCUAAAGCUAACAUAGUGCUUCGCCGGAGUAGAAGAAAUGCAACUAAGAGUGAUCACAUUGAAUGUCAGGGAGAAGUUAUUAGUGAUGCGGAGACAAAAAAAUUGCUGAGGCAAAGGCCAACAACUGAAUCUGACUUUGGUGGUGACACUGUUGUUUCAGACUCCGAAAAUGAACGCCCCGAUUAUGAACAUAUUGUGGUCUCGGAUACUGAGGACGGGAUUUCAGUUUCUAGCGAUGGAUCUAUGGAAGCCUACAAGUGAUUAUCGUCGACGAGUAUGCUUUUGCUUUUUGUGGAGUUUCUAUUUUGUGGGUAGUGAUCAUGGAAUGAAAUAUGAAUUGCUCCUUUUUGGUAAUGUAAUAUGGCAAAGAAGUAGGCUUCGUUCUCUGUAGUAAGAUAUACAUGUAGGAAGGUUACUAAUAUUUUGGUAUUCUAUAGAGCUAGAACAGUUUAAGUAGGUCUCUUUGUACAUGGAUUAUCUCGUCUUUUUUCAUUUAACAUUACAUGAGCGAGCACUUAGAUAGUAGAUAAUUUUAAUUGGAAUUUGUAGCUAUAACUCCAUUCGGGGAGGAUUGAGGCCCAGCCUACAAUGCCCGGGCUUAAAUUUUCAUUCAUUUGCUCGAGCCCACAUGGGUCUCCUAUUGAUGUGGCCCAGUAUUUUAUGGAAACCAUAACUUUUUAAUUAUAGUAUUGGCUUAUAUUAUACUAAAAGUUUAUGGCAACUAUUCAACUAUAGCCAAUUAUCGAAUUUUAUUUUAUUUAAUAUUAAAAUUUAAAACUAAAAUAAUACGCUAAAAUAAUCUUUAUAUAAUGCCAUCACACCAAUAUUUCAAAUUCAUUUUUUUUUUUUAAGAUUCAUAAAGACUUCUCACGUGAAAAGAUAUGUGCCUACUGAAUGACCUACGAAUAGAAAAAUGCACAACUCUUAUCACUUGUAUCUCAUGGCCAUACGGGCGCUGACAUCUAUGUUAUGCCAUUCCGUUUUUUAAGCCCCCGUUUGGUUGGGGGUUAAGGGGUGGAAUAACCCCUUAACCCCCAAUUUAUACCCAAACAUCAUGAAAAAAGGGUGGGGUUUACUAACCCCACCCCCUUCCCAACUUUAACCCCGCACGCAUCCCGAGCCCUCACCUUUUUUCUUAUUUAUCAAUCAUUAUCUUUUUAUCCCACCUACUCCAACCAAACACAAAAAAAUUUUAACACCACUUUAACCCUGAACUUAACCCUAUCCCUGGUAUAGCUACUUUUUCCUUAACCCCGAACCAAACGGAGGCUAAAGGAUUAAUUACACCAGUAAUCCCCAACCUUUUCAUCAAUUCUUAUUUGGGUCCCUAACCUUUUUUUUUUUUUUGCAAUGAGUGUCUAAUCUCUGGAUUUCAUUUCAAUUAAGUCCCAGCCGUUAGAUAGGUGUUAAAAUUGACGAAAAAUGCCCACGUCAGCACCAUGCAUGUCAGCGCGAUGGAGGCACCAUGUUAGCACCACGGUGGCAUUGUGUCAGCGGAUUGCAAAAAAAAUUUAAUAUUAUUUUUAAUUUUAAAUUUAAAAUUUUGAAUUUUUAUUUUUAGAGACUAAAGUAAAAAAUGUGCAAAGUUUAGAAACCUAAAUUAACAUGCAAAAGUAUGCCAAAUAAGCGUUGACGUGGUGAUUCCGUUAAUUUUAACAGGUUUUUUAAUGGUUGGGUCUUAAUUGUAAUAAAUCAAGAGAUUAGGAACACAAUUGCCAAAAAAAAAAAAAAAUUGGGGACCCAAGUGAAAAUUGAUGAAAAGAUUGGGGACUACUGGUGUAAUUAACCUUUUUUUUUAACAGGCAUUAGGUCCUAGACCAAAUUGGUAAUUGCUCAUAUUUGUUACAUACUUACAUUGGUUAAUAUAUCAGCGGCAUUAAUUAUAAUACUAAGUUGCCCGGAAAAUAAGCACCCGCCUGUGAACGCGGCUCCGUUUAGGGAGAAAUCAACGCAUAGACCACGGUCUAUAUAUUUUAUAUCCAAAAUAUAUACGCAUAAAAAAAAAUGUUUAAAAAGCUAUUACUCACUGUGUGAGAGGAACAUUACGAAGUUUAUGAUCUUUAAAAUAUAAAUAUAUAUUAAAUGCUCUAAUUAUAUCCAACAGUUCAAAUUUAGAUUUUUUUACGAUUUUCGAUUUGAGCAGUUUUUUUUUUUUUCACAGCUCUCAGAAACAAAAAAAAAAAAAAAAACACCCGAACGUUAAUAUAAUCGCAGCAAAAAGGAAGUCUCAAAAAAAGAAAAGAAAAGAAAAGAAAAAAGCACGUCACUCCACCACCGGCAAACGCUGACGUCAGUCCACGUCAUCCACCGGAAUCCGGCGCCGGUGCUCCGGCGAGCGGUUCUUCGCCACGUCAGCAAAAGCCCUGAAAAUAUACUUGUAAACGCUCUUCUCGUUGAGCUCCAGGUAGCAGAAGAGCAGCUCCUCCAUGAACCCCCAGUAAUCAUCCAACGGCUCCCCGCUCUCCACGUGGCACGCCGCGGCCACCAUCUCCAUCAUGGACGCACGGAAAUCCGCGCACGGGUCGUCAGAGUACGCCACCGCGGCGACGCCCCCGCACUGCACCGCCACGCGCGGGGUCACCACCGCGGCGGCAGCAACAUCCGAAAAUGACUUGUAAACUUUAUUACGACCGUCCUUCAUUGGUAAUUCCCCGCGAACUUCUUCGUUCAGCGGUUUAUACCGACGCAUUACUAAUUCCGCUGGCGUAGGUCUACUCGUCGCUAACACGUCGGCUGCGGUGGUGGCCCCGCUCAGCCGCGCCUCCUGGAUUAGAGAGCCUGUGGCGGCGGGGGCCACGAAGAAGCGGGCAGAGGCGCAGACGGAGCCCGGGGAGAGGUCCGUGAGGCGCGGGGACUCGUCGGUGGGGCCGUACGAAUACGUCAUGCCGUCCACGUCAGCAGCGCCGGCGUCCACGUCAGCACGGAGGGAGUGAGAGCUUGCGUCGGAGGAGAGGGUCCUGGGGGACUUGCACCCGGAGAGGAGCCAAUUUGUGGUUAUGUCAAUGAUGGUGGGGUUCGGAGGGGUUGGGAAGUAAUUUAAGGAUUUGUUUGGUGUGGAGUUGGAAAUGUGGCGAAGGGGUUUGUGGUGGCGCUUCUUCGCCAUUUGGUCAAUUUUAAUUUCUAUGAAUUUUGGUUAUUUUUUUUAAUCUCCUCUUAUAGAGAGGAUAUAUAGGUACAUUUAGAGCUGUAUAUAAAGGAAAGUAUUUAAGCUGGAUAUUUAAAAGUUUUUACGUAGAUUUUCUUGCCAUAGUUAUUCCGGGUAAUAUAUAGUUCUAAACAUAUGCGGGUGCAGUUUUGAGAACAUUAAGCGGGCUCUAUUAAUGGGAAUAAUAAUAACGAAGGAAAGUGUGAUUAAAUUGGAAAGGGUUACAUUGGAAAGGAAGUGGUUACUGCGUCUUUAGUGUAUCUUAUUAUGUUAAAAGCAACAUUUAUGAUUUAUGGGUUGGAUUUGGAUCUAAUUGCUGUUUCUUUGCGUUAGCUUUUAAUUGCUGAGUUUUCUGAAUGAAAAUGCUUUUACUUAUAUAGAGAAAUUAAUCUUCCUAGCCAUAUAUAUAUAUAUGUCGCAUUUUUGGAUAAAUUGUAUCUGGAAGGGCAUUUUGGUCGAUCAGGAUUGGCACUGUAUUGGAUUAGAUUCGGGUGGCUAACUAGGCUUUGAUAUGUAUCGACUUCUGAGGAGGUUUGAAAUUGUCUCUGAUACUUUAUUAUUAAAAAAUUUUGAAUUAAACUUCAGUUGCGGCAUUUAUCGAUGCAUGCACCAAUUUAGUCCUAUUAAGUUGAGUAGGAUCGGAUGGACCGGAGUAGAUUCACAAAUAGCUGUUAGAGCACAUGCAUGAAUACAACAAAAUGAGCUAAAAUUCAUGAAACCUAGCAAAAUAGCAUGAAGUACCACUUUCCACAAGAAUAUUUAGCAUGUCUCACAAUAAAUUAUCUCGCAUGCAUAUUUUAUUAUUCUAAUUAUACCAUGCAAUUGCUCUCUUCUACCAAGAGAAGUAAAGAAACAUAAGAUUAAAGGACGUGGAGGUGGAGAAUGUUAAUGAGCGAGAUACGUAACAAUGAGAGCUACAAGCAUCAACAAAUAAGUAGCAAACCGACCGUCCUUAGAGCAAGUAGCAAAGGGUUUGGUGGUUGGUACCCGAGAUUCAAGUUCGAAUUCUAGUUGAUUCAUAUUUCUAGCUAAGUUUAUUUCUAAAAUAAAAUAAACGAAGCGGGUAACGUGCUACCUAUCUCUCUCAAAAAAAAAAAAAAACAACAAAUAAGUAGCGAUCCCUUGAUCGAUCGCUUUGCUGUCGCUGGUCAUAGAGGAAAUCAGAGCUUCGCCAUGUACGAACUGCGCGUGAACGCUGAUAAGAAGUAGGUAACAGCGAGCAUUGUGUGCGCUUCAGUAGACCUCAUCGAUCAGAAGAUUAUAGCUAAUGAAACUGACCAACUUAGACCAAAUUAUAUAGAUUGAGAAUUUAUAAUUGUGCUAAAAAGCUAUAUAUGAAGCUUUUGAAUUAGGUGAUCAGGUCAUGUAGAUAGCAAGGAGAUGAGAGUGCUACGUAUAGAUUGUUCUCUUACAUGCAAAGCACCCCUUCAAUUUGGUUUAUAUAGUAGUGGCGGGGCUAAAGCUUGGAUCAAAAUCAGUGUGCUGUGGCAGUGUUUUUUGUAUACUUAUUUAAUUAAUUAUUUAGAGGCUUGAGUCACCCAGAGAAACCUGAAACCAUAGGUUAACCGAUCUAGCAAUUGAUGGUUUCGAAUAUGACGGAACAAGUCUCGUUCUAUGUUUAGACCAUAGUUUACUAUAUAGGUACUGUUUGUGCUAGUUUAAUUAAUUUCUUGGUAGAUAUAGUGGACCAUUCGCGUCUUAAACCAUUCGCGUGUUCCACUUUAAGAAAUGCUAAAGCGCAUUAAUUACGUUUAACAUUGGUGGGCUAAUACCAAAACGAACCUCGCCAAGAAUUUCUCAUUCACACUACGAAAAGCGACACAUAAAAGUAUCUUCUAGGAAACAUCUUCUCAGGUUAUAUAUAUAGAGGAUAUAUAUACUUUAGAAGCAUUUUAUAAUAUUCAAAUUUGGUGUUCUUGUAGCCAAUACUAGUAUAUAUGUAUAAGAUACGAAUAUGACUUUAAUUUGCACUUCAGACAAAUCUCUUGUCACGGCAACAUGCAUGUAGUCAAGUGUCAAAAUUACAAGCUUAUAAUAAGCCAUAUAUAUACUCUUAAUUAUUUUAUGAAUAAUUAAUAUCAUAAAUAAUUAGAGGAUAUAAAAACUGGGACAGCCAUGCUCAUGUAUGUGAUCGAUUUAGUGACUACUAUAACCCUUUCACAAUAAUUUUUAAAAAAUCAUCAAAUUAGUGAGCUAAUCAGCAAAUUAAAGAGUUCCGCUAUGAUGCUAUAUAUCAUUAGCACCAAGCACUUGGUGCUACUAAAAUUUUCACUGUUAAAUUUAUUCCUUUGACAAUUUUCACACCAUGGAUCAUACCAUUCAACUAAAUGUCCACUCAAUCUUAGAGAACUACUAUCAUCAUAACCGUACGUUUUUUAAUCUAAGGACCGAAAAUCAAAUAGCACCAAUAACUUGGUGCUAUAUAUUAAUUGUAUUCUAGCCUAGUUCCAGAUUGAAUAUUUAUAUGCUCAUGUAUUUCAUUAAGUAUAGAUUUUGUUCUAUUUAUCGCAGUAAUGGCUAGGUAAUAGCUAGACAUUGCCACUUAAAUAAUCAUAAAAUAUAUGGUAUCAAAGACUUGGCCUAGCACAAAUGGCAAAGGGCUUGGUGGUGGAUACUUGAAGUCUCAAGUUCGAAUCCUAGUUGAUUCACACUUUAUCUAAGCAUAUUUUUAAAUUAAAUAAAUUAAGCGUGCUAUCUAUCUCUCUCUCAAAAAAAAAAAAAAAAGACUCGGUCUAAACAUACUUUCCUUCUUCUUUUUUUUUUUGAAAGAUUUCCUUCUAUCUAAUGCGCCGUGUUUAUAUGUAGAGCUAUUUUCUUACUGUCCUUAAUUCCCAAAAUUAAUGUGUGUUUAAAACCAAUGAUCUAUGAAAUAUAAGUUCCCUAGUAUAUAUAUGUUAUGCUAUCAAAAGGAUAAGCAUGCAGUACGUGGGCAUUGUCGAACUAAAAGUCACAUAUUAUUCUUGCAGCAAGGAAGUGAAAUGCAUAAGCUUAUAGGCAUCAAAAGCAUAAGCUAGCUCACAAUAUGAAAGGAAGCUUAUGCUUCUGCUAUAGCGAAAAGCCUUGUCGUUUCGUUGAUUUAAUAUAUAAAACAAAGCUGUUAGAACAUCUUAGAAUAUUUUUGCUCAGUUUGAUUGGCAUUGACACACUUGAUUGAGUAACUGUUAGUUAAGAUACAUCAAGGUCGAACCUGAUUAUAACUUAAACUUUCGAAUGGAUUAGCUAGUCAUAUUUUUACAAUAUUUAAAAGACGUACAUGUUAUCAAUGCACAUGUUGCUCUAUCGAGAACUUUGGCUAGCUGCGUGCGUAAUCUCUGUCGAGCAAUUUUAAUCUUGCAUCACGACUACCUAGCUGAUCUUCAUUGUAGAUUUAAUGGAGUUUUAUUCAUAAUGAUCAUGGUCACAUCUCCUCUAGCUUAGAUCAAUUUAUUUUUAAGUAUAACAACAGUAAUUACAAGCAUGGGCUUUAUCAACGUGAGCCCGUUCGGCUAAGAAGUGUGCAAGCGCUUUUCGGAACAUAAAAAAUAUGUGAAUAUAUAUAUAUAUAAGAAAACCAAUUCUUUGUUAUGAUCAACAAUAUGAAUUCACACUCUAUAUAGUAAGACAAAACAAUUUUAUUCGAUUGGUACACAUAAUAUCAAGUACAUGAAAGAAUUAACUGCAUGCUUUAGGUAGGAAAAACUCAUCAAUGCUUCAACAAGGACUGUAUAUCUUUCCAAGAUUUUGUCGAAAAGAACAUAAUGGCGACGGAACCUAUAUAAGAAAUAAAUAAUUAAUGAACAAGAUAAGUGACGAGGAGUGCGACGAGCAUAAGCACGUAUGCAAUCCCUUGAUCGAUCGCUUUGCCAUCGAUCCCGUGAGGCGGCUUUGCGGUUGCUUCCCCAUAAGCAAGCUGCAUCAGUCCUGAGAAGAAAAACGUAGCAGCGAAGAACGCGUAUGCUCGAACGGAACUCAUCUUCGAUUUCUCUUGAAAGAAGCUAGUAAUUAAUGUACACAAGAAGCUAGAGAGCAAGGACCUAAACACAAUUUAUUGUGUGAGAGAGAGAGUGGAGAGAUUUAAAGUACAAGAAGAAGAAGAAGAAGAAGAAGAAGAAGAAGAAGAUGCUUGAAGGUGGUAGGAGAAGUUGGUUGGUUAAGAGAGAGACAUAGGGGGCAACUAUUUAUAGUUAGUUUUUAGGGUUUUUUCAUCUUUAAGUUAUUUAAGUAACAAAAAUUUUAAUGUAGCUUCGUGCAUGUAGAAUGUUCUCCUAUGUACGCCGCCUUUUUGGAUUGAUGGAAAGAGUCAAACGGUUUAAGGCCGUUAUUGAAAGUUAAUCUGCAGCUGUAGGUGAAAGGAGAAAAAGUAAAACUAAAAAUUAAGGGAAAAAAAAGUAAACCGAUGUAGGGACACAGUUAAUGGUUGAAACGUGUAGGGCAUGGCGAGGAGAGGGUUGACCGUAGACUAGACAACGCCCUAGUGAAUCUAAAGGAAAAAAAGGUUCAGUGGGGACUUUUAAUUGAGAAAUUCUAAUUUAUUGUCGUGCGUCAAUUUUAUCUUUAUUGAAAUAUUAUAAUUUUUUUUUAUGGUUUAAUUUUUAUUUUGGAAGAGCUUUUAGUGAUGAAAAAAAUCAAAUAAAUUUUUGAAUAAAGGUAAAACAAACAAGCGAUAGAGUGUCGAGAGAUCCCAAUAAAGUGUCGUUGGGGAGUUUCCUAUUGAAGUUUUAUUCGAAACGAAUGAAAGAAGGACAUGCACUACAAUGUAAUCUAGUUAGAUUCCGAAAGCCUAUUUGGUCCUGAUGGAUUAUCGGCAAUUUCAAAUAGAGCCUUAAACUUUGUUUGAGAUUGCAAGAAGUAUAUGUUACAUGCAAUAAAAAUAUGUGAUAGAAAAAUAUUUUACUUAUAUUCGUAAUAAGUUGCACGUUUUAAUUGCACCAUGUUAGUUAAUUCGAUGAUUCUAUCAAAAAAACACAGAACUAUGCAUUUAUAUGUUUUCGCCCCAAAUUUUUUUCUUGGAGACGUACGCUUUGCUUUCGAUGCUAAACAGGUUCUUAGUAUUCUUGAUAAAGAAUUAUAGAUGCGUGCAUCAGGUAAUUCCUAAUAUUAUAUAAUCAUUUAAGCAAUAGCAUUUUUUCGAGGAAAAAAAAAGGGUGUAGGAAUGUGGUUUUUGGUCACUAUAGCCCAAUAGCCUUAAUAGGGGAUGCCCGCAGAUUACAAUGGACACAAUCCUCUCCAUUUGAAAGCAAAUGCAAAUCCAAAUCUUGUAGUGUUGAAUAUAAAAAUAUUUAAAUACCGUUCUUUAAUAGUUUAAGUUUUUAGAGUACAACGGUUGUUUAACAUGGUAUCAGAGCAGGAGGUUCUGAGUUUGAGUCACGCCAGGCUCCCAGCAUAUUAAUUUUCUCCCAUUUAAUUUAAGACCACGUCAUGGACCGAUUAAAAAGUCUCGAGUCUAGAUGUGAGGGGGAGUGUUAAACAUAAAAGUAUUUAAACACCGUUAUCUAAUAGUUUAAGUUUUUAGAGUACAACAGUUGUUUAACAUGUAGUAAUUCACUGAGAAAGGUAAUCAAUCAAUUUGCUGUAAACAAAGAUAUAACACUGAAUCAACUUAAUUAGUGGGCAUAUAUAAACAGCGAAGCCAAUGUUCCUUAUAUUGUAUAUAAACAUCUACCAUUAUGCCCCAAAUGGUCCAUAAAGUUCACAAAAUAUAUGUGCAUGUACAGUAGCUCACGUCAGAAACAAUUAACAUGCUUAGAACAAACUGACCACAUAGAAUACGCAUAUCAAAUCUCACUGCAUGCGUUGCUUCGAGCCCAAAUCAAUGGAAUAGAUCGCAAGUCACAUUUCCAUGUUUGGAUGGAUCAUAGUAAAUAAAAUAGUAACUUAAUUAAUAGAGAGUUACAAGAGAUGUUUACACUUAUUAAGCUUCCAAAUCAGAAAAAGAAAAAAGGAACAUAUAUUACUAUCAGAAUACAUUUAUGCUUAACAAGUCACGGUUGGCCUUAUUCAAAUAAUGAACCAAAAAAAAAAAGAGAGAGAGAGAAAAAUGAAAUCCAAAUAGUCAUCAUCAAUUAAUGAGAAAGGUAGGCGACGAUAAGUGCGACAAUCAUAAGAAGAUAAGCUAUCCCUUGGUCGAUUGCCUUGCCGUCGCUCGUCGGGGACGGCGCCACUGCUUCGCCAGUCGAUAGUUGCAUAAACCCCGACACGAAAACGGUGACGAGGAUCACACAAUAAACUCGGGUUGUAUUCAUCUUUAUACUUUUAAGUUCUGGAAUUUUAAGUUAAGUUUGCUCAAAAUUAAUGUGUGUAGAUGAACUAGGAAAAUGCAUGCAGUAGCUAAUGAGUAAAGAGGAAGAGAUAGAAUAGGAUGAAGGGAGAGCUGUGUGUGGGUUUGCUUUAUAUAGAGGUGUUCAUAUAGUUUACCUCGAAAUAUUUUAAUUAGUUUCUAAACUUUCAAAUUAAUAUAUCUACUAUAUUUGGCUUAACUUGUCAUUAAAAGGAAAGAUGAGUUACAAUAUUGGGGUACGUAGAACAGCUGAACAGGGUCCCUAGCUCGAUGCAUUUUGCCAAAAUAUAUUUCACCUUAUUUAAUUUUUUAUUAGGGGCACUUGUGCGUGUUUGACUCGUUUUGACUUACCCAUAACGUACGUGGAGCAUAUGUCACCCAGACACGUGAGCCGUGACGAACACAAAAACCGGCCUACAAGCGCUUGGUCUUUGUAUGGCGACUUAAAAUUAAAAUAUUAGAUUAGGUAUCCAAUUAGCAAUUGAUUUAUUGAUUAGGUCAUCUCCAAUUUUGGAUUUUUACUUCUAUUUUUUACCGGAAUGUAAGAAUCGGUCUAUAUUUGUCGAAGAAAUAAUAGUUAAAAAAGGUACAAAUUAAUAGUCCUUAACGCACGUCUACAUGAGCCCAAGUUAAUACUCCAGCAAAAACCCACGAAACUAAAUUAAGCCUCUAUAUAAGCAAACAUCUCUAGAGCUCUCCCUCCAUAGAAUUAUUCCUACCUCUUCCUCUUUACUUGCUCUCAACAAAUUAGAAAACUAGACAAAGAUUUACAUAAUCCAAAUAUCUAGUUUUUUGAUUUUUGACUUUUUCUUUGUGGAAAAAUGAAUUCAAUUCGAGUUUAUGCCAUGAUCUUCGUCACAUUUUUCGUUUCGGGGUUGAUGCAACUAACAGCCGGCGAAGCUGUAGCGCCGUCUCCGGCGAGCGAUGGAAAGGAGAUCGACCAAGGAAUAGCUUACGUACUUAUGAUUGUAGCCCUCCUUGUCACCUAUCUCGUUUAUUAAUGGGUUGGUUCUUAUGGAUUUGUUCUUUUUGGUUCUUUGAGUAUUAAUAAUUCUUUAAAUAAGGAGAAUGGUGUCUUUGUAAAGCAUCCAACAAUAGAAGCAUGAAACGAGCGUCUUUUUUCUAUUUUCCAUUUGUUUAUUUUACAGCAUUAAUGUGAAAGUGUAACCAUCUUUUCACAUAAUGGAAUUUUUCUGCAUGCGCCUAAAACUACUGCUUAGUUCAAAUUACUCAAUUGUUGCAUGAAAGUUUCAACAUUGUUCUGUUGCAACCAAAUCAAACAAUUUAGCAACAUUGUUUGUUCUCAAAAAAGUAACAGCAACACUGUGUAAAAUAAACAUACCAACAACUCAAGUAGCACUUUCUGAAAAAAGAAAGAAAAAAGCAGCCGAGUAAAACUGGCUUUCAGAUAACCAAAUUGAGACAGUAAACAGUUGCCCCACCGUCGCCUUGCAUUUCACAGCAUAUAGUGGAGAUUAAAAGUUCUCGAAAACAAACAAAAAUUUAGCAAACAUAUGCACGAUGAAGAUUAUUGGGGAUGCGAAGGCUGGGAAGGAACCGAUUGUGGAGCUGCGUAAUCAUAGCCAGCAUAAUUAACUGGAUAGUAUUGUUGAGAAACUGCUGCCGGAUUUUGUACAUAAGAGGCUGCGCCAUAUGCAGGUGCGGGUGCAACCUGAGGUGGAUAUUUGUAUGAAGAGGACGGUCCACGAGGUCCAGUUGAUGGUCUGCGAUGACCGUACGAACCAUAAGCUGAAUUGGAACUUCGGCUUCUUUUGGCAGCACGGAAAGAGGAGACCCCGGCACUAGAAGAAGCAGCUCGCCUCCGCUUAACUGAAGGUGGCUUGGGUGCUGUGGCUUUUUUCCUGUCCGCCUUAGCUUUCUCCAUUUGGAAGAGCUUAAUCUUUAGGGCAUUAGUGCUAAAUUGUGACUCGAGCUUGCAGUUUUGGACGCAGUUGAUCACAGCUUUAAUGGCGUUGUACUCUAUAUUGCUAGCCUCUUCCUGGAAAAAGCAAAAAAAACUUUUUUAUGAAGCAUACGAUCAGAAUAAAAGAAGAGCAAAUAAAUGUGGAAUUUCUUUACGCCACUUAGUGCUUUAACUAAGGAGAGUCAUCGUGAAAAAAGAAAAGGAAUACUGAAAAGAAAUCCAGCCUCAUCUAUACGACUACCCUCUAUUCCACAUACAUAUUGCACAAUGCAGGCACUUGAGAAACGAGGCAGGUAAAGAUGAAAAUCAACCAGAGGAAACAGUACCCACAAACAAGAUAUUGUUUUACUUCGGUGUGUAUAGGCAUUUGGAUAGCUAGAUUCAUAAAAAAUUGUAAAUAGUAGAGUAAUGUGUCAGAUUGAAAUAAUACAGAUCUGCCAAAGUGAUGCAUAAGAAAUUAAGAGUGACAUCGACCGUCCCUAGAGCAAGUGGCAAAGGGCUUGGUGGUUGGUACCCGAGACCCAAGUUCGAAUCCUAGUUGAUUCACAUUUCUAGCUAAGUUUAUUUCUAAAUGAAAUAAACGAAGCGGGUAGCGUGCUACCUAUUUCUCAAAAAAAAAAAAGAAAAAAAAAAGAAAAAAAAAUAAGAGUGACAUUAGAAGAAGAGAAGUGUGUAAAGAUAUAUAGAAGAAUCAAUAAAAAGAUUUGCAUGAAUUGCAACGUAAACUACAUGUAUUAUUACACGAAAUUUAAAUAGAACUCAUCGCAAGAAUAAUUAUGAUCGGUCUAGAUAUCAAACUAUGGAAAGUUUUAUCAAGUGUUGUUUCCUGAAUUUGAUGGCAUAUCAUUCCAAACUUUAUGCAUCAUUCAGUGCCACAUUCAGUAAGUAAAGUGCGUAGAUCACCAGUUACCCACCAAAAAAAAAAAAAAUCAGUAAAGAUUAAACAUAUAUCACGAAUCCAAAAUAUUUACAGUAAAGAGUCAUGCCAUGAAUGAAACAAGAUGACAAUUGAGUUGACAAACAAACAUAAUCCAAUCAUACCGUAGCAGCAUAGGAACGGUUCCCAUUUUUCAACAUGGCAUGAGCUUUUUUUCUGGAGGCGUGGAGGUAAGACUUGAGAAGAGAGACGGGGGGAAAUUGUUCGGUCAAACCACAGUCCGUAACAAUAUAUACAGCCUCUAUGUCUUUCCCAGUCUUUAACAGGUCGUCAACAAGCUCUGCAGGUCCAUCAACAAGCAUUUGUUAGUUUAAAAGUGUCGCAGAUACUAUCUCAAUGUACGCUCCAAAUUAAUCUCAUAUGACGGCAACUAGAAUUUCAAUCUUCGAGUAUGUUUGCACUGUUGACCAUUGGCACCAUAUUAAAUCAGCUGCCUGCUUGACUCAAAACUACAGUGAACUACUACAUUAAAGAACAUCAACUGAGAGUUGCCAUCAGAAGGUACUUUUAAAGUAUCAACGUUAAGAGAGAUAUCUCUGUUCUUUGAAACUGAAGGGGAAUGCUUAAGGUGGUGUUUGAACUUUCCAAAUCUAAAAAAGGGUCCGCAUACUCUAAAUAUCUCCUGCAGGCUAGUGGCACUUAAUAUGUGUGAACAACUGCUAAGGGUUUGAGCUUCUUCGACGCAGAGAAUCAGUUUUGACAUGGGGAUUGAUUUGUUCGUGACAGGAAGGAAGAACGGAAAUUUCGAUUAGAUAUAGACAGAUACUAUAUCACUUGGAAGUGCCGGCGAAGUUUUUCUUUUUCUUCUUCAUAUAUUUAGAUAAUGCAUUUUUAGUGUUCAUAUACAUAAAUUCAUCUGGUAUGUGUCAAAUAUGGAGCACUUGUGUGGCAAAGAUAAUAAAUUUCAACAGGGGUAUAAUAACAAUAACCAAUUUGUUUUUCUCUUCUUCAAACCAAUUCUUAUCCAAAUAGAGCGAUUGAAUAAAAUCAAAGCUUUUACCUCCAAGUAUCUUUCCAAAUCCUAGCAUCGGAGCGAGCCUCGCAAUCUCCUUCCUCUGAGCGUUCUCCAGGAACACCUUCCUCAAGAACUCUUCUUCGAACCUCGAGCUCAGCCCGAACGCGGCGACCAUCUGAAGGAAUAUCUGCGCGGCCCGGCCCGACCCUUCUUCCCCUUCCGCCGCGCCCUCCGCGUCUCCCUUUAUAACAAGCUUCUCCUUCCACUCCUCGACCACCGCCGCCGCCCUCUCCUUCAUGCUCUCCGACACCUCCGGCGCCUUCUUCCCAUCCGAAUCGAACAGAGUCAUCACCAGCAUCCCGAACACCCACUUCGGAUCGUGCCCACCGCCUCCGCCGCCGCCGCCGCCGCCGCUGGAGAGUUGCCCUAGGUAGUCCCCUACGGCGUCCACAACCACGCGCGCCGGGUCCACCGACCCCGCCACGGCCUCACCGAUCUCGAAGCGGAGGACGCCGAGGUCGCGGCGGCGGGAGACCAUGAAGCGCCAGAGCCCGGCGGAGUCCAUGCGGCGGCAGAACCACCGGAGGAUCCCGCGGAUGUCGGUGGGGGGCGGCGCAGCCGCGGCGGCGGCGGCGGAGGCGGCGGCGGGGUCCUCGAUCUCGGCGACGGCGGCGUCGCGGCGCUCCUUGAUGAGGGCGGCGGCGGCGGCCUCGCGGUCGGGGACGGAGGCCUCGCGGGAGGAGAGGGUUUCUAGGGUUUGCUUGGUGGUGGAGUCGAUGGAUUGGAGAUCAGCGUCGAGGGCUUGGGACCGAUCGGCUAGGGUUUGGCGGAGGGAGGAGAAGUGGUCAGAGAGGCUCUUCCACAGGAGGGUGCAGUUGGUGAUUAGGGUUUUCUGAGCUUCUAGGUCUUCGAGAACCUUCUCGAUUGGGUCGGAGGAGGCGACGUCGAUCGCCAUGGCAGAGCUUAGUUACCAGAUAGAGAAGAGACUGUUCUCACACACACACACAGAGGGCCAGUGGAGAUGUAAAAGGAGUAGUAGUGUUUGGAGGCCCAUUUAUGGAUGGGCCCAAAUAGGCCAAAUAUUUUAGUAGGCCGUGCUUGUGGCCUUAGUUUCUUAGUGGAGAGACUUGUACUGCAAAAAAGUAGGACUGGUUCUUGGACCAUGAUUGGGGACACCAUCGUCCUCCAAAUCCUCAUUCUCCAUAUUCUGAGUUAUUCUGCGCGCCAUUACUUAGGAUCUGUUUGGUUCAGCUUUAGUGGGGCACCCAACCGCGAUACAACAUGGACCUGAGAAGCUCCACGCGAAGCGUCUCGUGUCACCUCACUGCUUGUACUAGUACUAAGACGCAGAAGCCGAAUCAAAUGAGAAAUUCUACACUGUCACGCUUGCACCACAUUUUUAAUAACAAAUCAAUCACAUUUCUUCUUUUCAAACAAAAAUACAAUAAAAAUAUUUUUUUAUAAUCAUGAUGAGACAUAUAUAUUUAAAAGGAGAUAUUUGAUUGGUUUGUGACGCCACGUCACCAAUAUAUCCGGUGCAUUCUAAAAUUUCUCGAGUCAAACAGGAUCUUCUUAGCU